GGUACAAUUCCUUUCCAAUUAGGGUCAUUUGAGGAAUAGACCUGAAAAACGUACUUUCUAAAAGACUUGACACCUUUUUGGGUUGUGUCAGAAGUAGUAGGAAUGAAUUUUGAAAAUGGACUUUCCUUUUUGCUUGUUUUCAUGAAAGAAGAGUUUUUUGAAAUGUAGUUUGACAAAACAAAUUUUUCUGGACUCUUAGAUUUUGGAAUUUUGACAUGUCUCUUAUUUUUGGAAAAACUUUGUCUGUUUGUGCCUCGAGAUCUAAUUUCUUCUUUGAAAGCCUUUUUUUGCCAAAGAUUUUUGUGAACCACAGUCAUUGUUACUAACCUGCGGUUUCCUGGAAUUUUUUGAAUAAUAUUGAAAACGUGGGCUUGAAUCAUCAGAACUUGAGGAUUCUGGGAUUUGAGAGCAUUGACCUACUUCAAAAUUUUCUAUGGGUAACUCAUCAAAUAUUGGCUGAAGAGUUGCGGUUCCUUGAACUGAUGACUGCGGUAGGGAUGACUUGACUACCGCAGAGUAGGUCUUAGAUGGGACUUCGAUGGGACACUUGUGGUACAUUUGACUACAGUGUGAGACACUGCGGUCUGAGGACAGAGAUGGAAAGUCUUUUGAGACUUCGGGGCCCUCAACAACAAUCUCUUCAUCAACUAUGGAUGAAGUUUGAGAAUUUGGAUAAGUGGUGCCACAGAUAGGAAUUUGAUCACAUGUGUGACCCGAAACCUCAGGCACAAUUUCCUCAAUGACACAAUUAUUGCUUAAAUUGUGUAGUCUACCGAAAUGAGUUUUGAUAUCUUCGGGAAAAGUCUUGUUAUUGACAGGGAAAUGAAAUUCUCUAUCCGUAGGGACAUACAAUCUGUCUUUGUUGAACCGGGGUGAGGAAUCCAUUGCGGUAGGAUAUCCAUUUGACCAACCCCAAUUAUAUGUAUUGUCCACGGUUCCAUUGUUUACCAAAUUUUCAAUAGCCUCACUUUCAUUAAACAAUUUUUCAAUUAAGAGAUUUAAGCGUACAAUUUCUCUCUGAGCUAAAUCUCUCUGGUUCAAAGCUAUCUCUAAUUGGGUUUCACUUAACAUUCUAGCGUCUUUUUCUAACUCUAGAUCCUUCUCUAACAUAGCCAUAUUAAGUCUUUUGUUAUCCAGUCAUCCUCUCACAUGUAACAUCUCUUGGGACGCAAUGUUCUUCUCAUCUAAGGCUUUGUUAUGGUUUAUAAGGACGGCAACACAAGUGUCAUUAAGAUCAUCUAUGUAGGGUUGACAGUCAUGCAUACUAUAAUUUAAAGUUUGGAUCAUGAGUUUUACCUGUUCGACGAUGCUUAGAGUCCCAUACUUUGCCAUGUAGCAGUAAUUCUUGUUCAGCAUUGUAGAUCAAUCAUCAUCUGCAGUGGCCAGCCUGCAGAUUUUCCCUUUUCCUUUAACACUGCUGAUAGUCUCUUCUUCGUCUCCGGAUAACCCAACUUGAUGGUCUGUUUUGACAUGGGCCACAUAUGCCCUUACCUUUUCAUUUUCUUCUAGCUCUUGAGCCAUUCUAAGGUAGAAUGCUCUGUCUUUGACUACAUUGGCCUUACAAUCUCUUGCGAAGUGAUUUUCUUUGUUGCAUUUGUGACAAAUCACAGCAUCAGUCUUGUCUUCUGAUUGAGUACCGGAGUCAGUGGUCUGAGCAGACUGUGAUACCUCCUUUGGUUGAUUAUUCUGAGAUUGUGCUGGUGGAUGAGAACUUUUGGGAUAUCGAGAAUGGUUGUUCUGAGAACCAAAUUUAUGGUUGAAUGGAGGUUUGUUGAACUGUUGAUUCUUGUGGAAGGAAGGAAGUGGUAUACGGUUGAACUGUUGGCUAACCAGAGCAAUAGCCUUCUGAAAUUCUUCUUCAUCAUCAUAAUCAGAAUCCGCUUCGUAUGACUACGGUGGAGUGUCAUACGAUGAAGAGUAGGGUGACUACGGUGGAGCUUGUGCUAUGAGAGCAAGUGGUCCUCCGAAGUCAGCACAAUUUUUUAGUAUGGUGGAUUCUUGUACUUGAAGCUCUCCAUAGAGCUUGUAGAGUGACAAAGAGUGAAUCUUCAUGCCGCCUUGGACUAUCAUUUUAGCCGUAGUCUAAUGUCUUCCUAAACCAAUAAGAAACUGGAGAUUGGUUUCAUGGUUACUGCGGAUGGUGCCCACAUUGGAUAACUUAGUGACUAUCAGUUUGAACCUUUUGAAGGAGUCUUCCAAACUUUCACCAGUAUGAGCAUUGAAGUUGUUGAAGUCGUUGAGUGUGGUAGUGAGCUUCUUGUCUUUUGCUUGUUCUGAGCCUUCGUACAGGUUCUUGAGCACAUCCCUGAUCUCUUUUGCUGAUUUGCAGUUUAUGAUAAUAUCAAAAUUGUCAGGAGCAACUCUGCAGGAAAUUUCAUAGAAAGCAAUAGCAUCAUUUUCCAUUUUAUCGAGAUCAUCCUUGGUGGGACGGCUCAUGGCUGGUUGACCUCCUCCUAGCCUGGUUGCAGCGCCGUCAGUUUGGACUGGUGUAAGCACUGGGACAUGUGGUCCUUCUUCUAUAGAUCGCCAUACAUCUCCUCCUAUUCUUCUUAAGUACCUCUCCAUUCUUUGUGACUAGUGAUGAUAUUCAUUUGCUACCAGUAUUGGAGCUCGGUUAGAACCACCAACAUUGUUGGAGACAUUCAGAGAUAACGAUUGUGCCAUUUGAUAUUGUUUUUGUUUUUUUUUUAAGAAAUGAGCUUUAGUGGUAUAGAAGGCUUUUUAAAAAAUCAGAGUUCCGAUUUUCAAAAAGCAACCAAUUUGGCUCUGAUACCGAUUGUUGAGAGAAAAACUUGGAGACACAUUUGAACAAAAGUUAGAACAAGUAUAUUGCGGAAUAGUUAAUCUCGAAGGAUCUAAAAGCUCAAUAAUAAUAUAGUUAGAUAGUUAGAGAGUUAGUUGCGGAAAGUAAAGAAAUAUAAAUGACAGCAAUUGUUAUAUCAAGAAUACACUUAAGCUAAUUCGUAACAAGGAAUGCAUUCACUCCAGGUUAAUAAGGAAGAUCAAGCUUAGUGAUUAAGCCUUAAAGACUUGCUUCGGAGAGAGGUUAUAAUCAGAUAUACUUAAGUACCAAUUGAGAGUAAGAAGAAUAGAAAGAUAGAGAAAUGAAGAAGAUAACUUGGAGAAAUGUAUUUAGAAUAAUACCCAAGUUAUCAGUGAUCGAGAGGGUAUUCAAUACAAUAGAAUAAGUCUCUAUUUAUAGAGACUUUGAACUAUACUAGACUACAACUCUAUAAGCAGUCGUGCAAGGCAUACUGGAUAAUAGAGUGUAUUACAUAAAAGACAAAUAAAGUAUUCUGGUUAAGUAGACUGCGGUAGGAAAAGACUGAUUAUGGUUGCUGAUGAAGAACUGACUCCGAGUGCUGGAUUGGCUGUGGGUGCUAAACCGUUGCGGUAGAGAGAUGGUUGCAGUAGUUGAGUUCAAGAGGGUCACUUUUAUGAUUCAACAGAAGCCCUAAUUAAGGUGUAUGAAGGGAACGAAGACAUGCGAGAGAGUAGCCAAGUCAUGCUGCGACAACGUUUUAAUAUGUUUAAUUAUGUUCCUGGAGAGACUCUUGAAGCACAGCUGCAGAGGUUCACAACUCUCAAUACAGAAAUGACUGUGGCUGGGAUCUUCUACACAAAGUCAGAGAUAAACAAGAAGCUACUGAAUGCUCUCCCAAAAUCUUGGGACAUGAAUGUAGCUGUCAUUAAGAAGACAUAGGAUCUCAGCCGUCUCUCUCUCGCUGAAGUGAUGGCAGUCAUCAAGGCAUGUGAUAUUGAUGACAAGCAGCGGGAAAUCAACCAUGUGAACUCAUAUUCAGCUGCGAACCUUGGCAUUUCAUCAAACAAUGCUCUUUCAUCCUUUUCUUUUUCUUCUGCAGGUUCAUCCGUUAAUACUCCGAAAGCACAGAUUCAGACUUUCCCCACUCUAUCAGCUUCCUCUGCAUCAGCCAUGCCGUUCUCGCAGAAUCAAUCAAUUGUGGCUGCUAAAGCUGCUUCAUCCUCAACUGGAGCUUCUUCUUCAAAGGGAAAGGAGGGUGAUGAAAAUCUUGCACUUGCUUCGGGGCUUGUCAAUUGCUACAAUGCGCUUGUAGCCGGGGAUCUUCUGCCUCAACUAUCAUUUUCCGAUAUUGAUCAGAUUCACCCUGAAGACGUUGAGGAGAUGGAUAUUACAUGGCAAAUUGCCAUGGCAAUCUUUAGGGCGAAACAAUUUGCCAAAAAAAACUGGAAAGAAUAACUGGGGGAUGAGUGCUGACAAGAAGGUGGGGUUCAGCAAGUGAAAGCUGUGAUGUUUCAACUACCACUAGCCAGGGCAUUUGGCUCGUGAUUGUCCACAACCAGAUAAAAGACUAAAUAAUGAUAGGACAAUGGUUACAGUCGGAAACAAUCGAAGUGGUACUCAAAUGAACAACGAGAAGGCUAUGGUUGCUCAGUCAUUUGACUUGGAGGAUCAAAUGCAAGCCCUGAACCUCUCUGGACCUGAAACUGCCCACCUGGCACAAGUUUGUGAUGAUGCCCCAGCAGAGAUUGUGGCAGCUGAAGAUAAGAUGAUGGAGCUGCAAUUUGCUUUGAUGGUAUCCUCUUCUCAUGAACCUUAUUCAAUCGAGGUAAGUCUACCAUCAUGCUCUCAAGCUUGUAUAGAUUAUGUUAAAGCUCUAUAUUAAUAAGAGAAGUAGAAGACCUUAUAUAUGAAGGGUACCAACUUAGAAAAGGUCAAAAAACACUUAAAGCUCAAUUGGAAUAAAAAAUUAAGGACUUUAGGAGACUUCAGGAAGACUACAGUAAUAAAUGUGAAAAUUAUGAUUAUGUAGUGAAACAGAACGCUGAACUAGUGGCUGAAAUUGGAUCUUUAAAGGGAAAAUUUGAAACCGCCAAGUUUGAUUUUAGAAAAUAUGAUUUUUCAAGUGAGGUUGUUGCAAAUAUGAUAGACCACAGCAUGCAAUUUAAGAAAAAUCAAUCAAAAGGUCUAGGGUAUAAUCAUGUGCCCCCUCCCUUCAAUCAUUCAUAUCUGCACAAGCCUCCGUCCAAAGAAGAGAUUGCUAAUGAACCAUUUAUGGUUUAUGGCGAGCCAUCUGGUUUUAUUUCGGGAGGAUUUAUUAAUGUUGAAAGUACUAACAUUUCUACUUCUUCUGCAGAUCAAUCCUUGAAUCAGUCAAAGCACGAAGUUGAAGGAUAGGUUUCUGAAAAUAAAAUCGAGUCUAAACCUGAAGUUUUAGUUUUAAAUAAAGACAAUAUGUUUUCUGAUGUUUCAAAUGACAGUAUUUUUUGUGGUGGUGUUUCUAUUACUUCUGAUACUGUUUUGAAUGGUUUGAAAAAGUCUGGUUUGAAAUAUUUGGUUGACAAUUUUGAUGUGUCUGAUAAUGAUUUUGAGAAACCUCCAAUUUCACAGACUUGUCCAUCUAAUGUACCCUCGCUUGCCUCACAACCUAAUUCCUAUUCAUGUUCUUGUGAGAAAAGUAAUGGUGAUAGUAUGGAAAACAAAUCUGAUCAAUGUAGCACAAGUUAUAACAAUAACAAGCAAAUUUGUUUCAAUUGUGGUGUUGGUGGUCAUAUAGCUAGAAAUUGUCAAAAUCAUAUGUUUGUACAUUUUGAAUUUCCAAGAGGAGAGAACGGAUCCAAAGGAAGGUUUUUAACUAGAAAGUCCUCUAGAAAUCGUUCCCUAAAUGGUGAUUGGAAAGAUGAUCGAAGUAGAAAACGAGCCAUUUUUCAAAAACAUAAAAAGGUUUUUUAUCACAAAGUCCCAUGCAGUUUGCCAAAACCGAACAUGGACAAGCCAAGAUCGGUUUCGUUAAGAGGCAGCAGUGAGUCUUCAACCAAAUCUGGUAGAAAACCCACAUGCCCUAAGCAAACUGAUACUCAUUCAAAAACACCCGAGACAAUUAGAAAACCGAAAUAUCAAUGGCUGCCCAAACAAGUCUCCAAUUCAUCUUUCGUGUCCUCUAAAAAUUCCGAAAAUUAUCAAUCUGAAAAGGCAUCAGGACCACCCAGGAAAAUAAUGACCUGGGUUCCUAAAUCUAAUUAAACCCGCACAUUUUGCAGGGAUAGUUGAGGGGAAAUCUUGUCAGACCCUGGUUCGUCGACAGCGGCUGUUCCCGACAUAUGACAGAAGAUAUCGCCCAACUGCAUAACAUUCAAUCAUUUAAUGGGGGGUACAUCUCCUUUGCGGGUGGAGAAGGUGGUAAAAUCACUCAACGAGUAACUGUCUCUAAUGGGGUUUUAAGUUUCGAGAAUGUUAAUUUUGGUCCCGAGCUGAAGCAUAGUUUGUUAAGUGUUUCUCAGAUUUGUAACAAGGGAUAUUCUACACAUUUCACUUAUAAGGAAUGCAUGAUUCUCAAGCCAGGCUUUGUCAUCCCAGAGGAGUGGAUUCUUGUAAAAUCUAAAAGGGAUGGGAAUGCCUAUAUCAUUGAUAUGAAUAGCAUUCUUCCAGAACAAGUUAUGUGCCUUUUCUCCAAGAUCUCCGAACAAACUGCAAUGUUGUGGCACAGAAGACUAGGUCAUGCUAAUGCCAAGAACUUGAAUCGUCUUGCGAAGAAUGAGAUGGUCUGUGGUUCGCCUGUCAAGGACUUCGUUAUGUUUGAAAAAUGUGUGUCAUCUACCCAAGGAAAGCAUCAUAGAAAACCAUAUCUGCCAAAAUAGGGCAACUCAAUUAGCCAGUUGCUUCAAUUGCUUCAUAUGGAUCUGUUUGGACCAGUAAAUGUUCUUUUCUAUCCAACAAAGCUGGAGUUGCUGAUUUGAUCAAGAAAUUUAUUGUAUUAGUUGAAAAACAAACUAACAAUCAAGUGAAGGCGCUUCGUACCAACAACGGAACAGAGUUCAAGAACUCUGUACUUGAUCAUUUUUACGCAGAAAAGGGUAUCAUGCGUCAAUUCAGUUCUGCUCACACACCCCAACAAAAUGUUGUUGCUGAAAGAAGGAACAUAACUUUAAAGGAUUCUGCAAGGAUGAUGUUGUGUGAUUCAAAGUUACCAGUUUUCUUUUGGGCGGAGGCGAUAAACACUGCAUGUUAUGUUCAGAAUCGAGUGCUGAUCAACAAAGCUCAGAUGAAGAACCCGUAUGAGAUUCUCUAUGGUCACAAGCCGUCAUUCAGUCAUUUCCAUGUAUUUGGCUGCCCUUGCACUCUUCUUCACUUAGAUGCCAACCUGAAGUUUAAUGCAAAGGCCGAUGAUUGUUACUUCGUAGGGUAUGCUUCUCGCACUGCCUAUAGAGUCUACAAUAAGAAGAAAAAACAGAUUGUGGAAUCGUAUGACGUGCGUUGGUUGGAAGAAAAUGAGACGGACGCUAGAGUGGGUUCGGAUUAGCUAUUUGAUUACACAUCGCUAUUCAAAUCAAUAAAUGUGUCUUCGAGUGGUUCAUCUGGAUCUGUUUCUGGUUUGAAGAAGAUUUUUGAAGACGAAGACGAAGAAGUUUUCUACAGACCUCAAUCUGAAUCCCCUUCUUCUUUCAAAGGGAAGUCUCCGGUUUCAUCUGAGGGGGAGUCCUCUACUGUGUCUGAGGGGGAGUCCUAUGUUAUGCCUGAGGGGGAGUUCACUGCUUCACCAGAGAGGGAGUCAUCUGCGCAAGUUGAUAGUCCUAAAUCUCCAGUCCAAAAUGAUACUCCUGAUGCUGAAGUUACACUAUCUACACCUAUGGAGAGAGAGUUCAUGCUUAAUGACGCUUCCGCAACCACUUCAACCUUUAUGGAACUACUCUUUCCUGAAUUUAUCUCUAGUGAGUUCGUUGCAGAAUCCUCUGGAACGGCUCAAUCAACAAAUGAAGGAGGUAUCAACAUUCACACUCUUCCUGUCUCUCUCAAUGAUAUCAGCCAAGAGAUACCUUCAAGAGUUCAACGCGAUCAUCCGAUCGAUAAAAUCAUUGGUCAGCUGGGUGACACUGUUAAAAUGAGAAGUCAGAGUGGAGAUGUUAAUACUUGUCUCUACUCUUGCUUUAUCUCUCAAAUAGAGCCCAAGAAUGUUGAAAUGGCUCUGAAUGAACCCAGCUGGGUAGAUGCAAUGCAUGAGGAACUGCAUCAAUUUGGAAAACUCAGUGUUUGGAAGUUAGUUGAGUUACCAAAGGGCAAGAAGUCACUUGAAACAAGAUGGGUUUAUCGCAAUAAGCAGGAAGAUUCAGGGGUUAUUGUGCGAAAUAGAGCUCGAUUGGUGGUUCGUGGGUUUUGAAAAGUCGAGGGUCUUGACUACAUUGAAGUUUAUGCUCCAGUAGCUCACCUGGAGGCUAUUCGUAUCUUUCUAGCAUAUGCUUCUUACAUGAACUUUACCGUGUAUCAAAUGGACGUCAAGACUGCCUUCUUGUAUGGCAAGGUCAAGGAAGAAAUCUACGUUGAUCAACCUCCUGGGUUUAUUGACUCAAAAUUUCCUAAUCAUGUCUACAAGUUGGACAAGGCAUUGUAUGGGUUACAUCAAGCUCCUCAAGCAUGGUAUGCAACUCUAACAAAGCAUUUCCUCGAGCAUGGUUAUUCACGUGAGACCAUUGAUCAGACUUUGUUUAUCAAGCAUAUCGGAAAUGAUCAAAUUCUUGUGCAAAUCUAUGUUGACGACAUCAUCUUUGGGUCAACCAGUCCGCAGCUCUGCAAAGAAUUCGAAGGUGUAAGGAAGAAAUGGUUUGAAAUGAGUUCGUUAGGAGAAAUGACCAUGUUUUUGGGGCUUCAGGUCAAACAGAAUUCAACCGGAAUCUUGCUACAUCAAGCCAAGUAUAUGGAGGAUAUUCUUGAGAAGUUCGAGUUUCACGAUGCUAAGUCUGCUUCAACACUAAUGGCUGAAAGACCUCUUCUGACUCCAGAUCCUGAAGGUGAAUCCGUAGAUAAGGCUCACUAUCGAUCGAUGAUCAGAUCGCUGAUAUAUCUUACUGCAAGCUGACCUGACAUCAUGUUUGUAGUUUGUCAAUGCGCACGUUAUCAGGCUAAUCCUAAACUUUCACAUCUUAUUGUUGUCAAAAGAAUUUUUCGGUAUAUCAAAGGGAGCCCAAAAUUGGGUCUUUGGUAUCGGAAGAAUUCUGAAUUUGAUCUUUAUGCUUUUGCUGACAAUAAUUAUGGAGGCUGUGAGCUUGACAGGAAAUCAACCUCAGGAGGAUGUCAAUACCUAGGUGACAGACUAGUUUCGUGGCAAUGCAAGAAGCAACACACUGUUUCAACUUCCACAACGGACGCGGAAUAUGUUGUUGCAUCGGCUUGCUGCUCUCAAGCUAUCUGGAUCCAACAUCAGCUGUUGGACUACGGUUUGAAUUAUUUAGAAACCCCCAUUUAUUAUGAUAAUGAAGCUGCUAUUCAAAUUGCCAAAAACCCAGUCCAACACUCUAAAACCAAGCACAUCGACAUUAAAAUUCAUUUCAUCAGAGACUAUUAUGAACGUUUGCUAAUCCGGCUGGAAUAGGUCCACACUGAUAAUAAUAUGGCAGAUUUGUUCAAAAAGCCAUUUAACAAAGCUCGCUUCGAUGUGCUUGUAGGCUUUCUGAAAAUGAUUCGUUUUGAGGAUUAAGUUUUUUUAUUUUAUUUUGCUUCUUUUCUUCAACUCAAUUUUCAAUUUUUAAUUUUAUUUUUAUUUUUAUUUUUUCUAUUUUUUAUUUUUUUUAUUUUCUUAGGAUAGAUUAAGUUUGCGCAUUUCAUUUUCUUUUAUUUUUAUUCUCACUCAUGCACAAAUUUAGGGGGAGAAAUAAUCAAAAAUCCAAAAACAAUAAAAAUUCCAAAAAUCUAAAAACAAUAAAAAACCUAGAAAAUUAAAAAUAUUGUUGAUAGUUUUGUUUGUAGGUGUUGUGACGGGCAAUGAAAUUAGCAAGUAAUAACGGGCAAUCUGAAUCGGCGUAACGUACCUAAGUUGAAUCGUCUACGCUCUGCGCUCGAAGCGCUGUUAGGCACAAAAGNAUAGGUUGAGCAGGAAGAUAUACAUGGGAAUCUACCGAUCACAUAAAAUAACCCGUAUCUAGAACUAUGGAUUCACUUUUCCUCGAUGUGCGGAUUAUGUCCUUAAUUCCGGUUGGAUGGGGCGACUGGUAAAUUCCGAUAAAUUAGGUCUAUAGAAAAUCGUUUUCUUUCUUCCUGUCUGUUAUUCAUAUGUUGUCUCCUUUGCGUGACCUCCAAUCCAACCCGGUACACAACAUAUGCAACUCUAUUUCUCUGCAUGUUAUAUAUCUGAAAUCCCUCUUAUCUGUUACCCAUAUGUUGUCUCCUUUGCGUGACUUCCAAUCCGACCUGGUACACAGCAUAUGCAACCUUCUACUUCUCAACCCCUCUGAAACAAUAAGUAGUAGGAAUCUGAAUCUAUCCUCUCUCUGAAUGAUUGUCUGCUCACCCGGUGUAAGGAGUACUCUGGAAGUUCUUGAUGGCUGAGGCAUAUCAGGAAGCGGGAAACACAUUCUAGUACACUUAAAAUUGAACACAUACAGAUUGUCUGUAGAUCUCGCUCCUCGAUUUAGGUGGACAACAAUAUCCCUGGUUGUAGUCAGUUAAAUGGUCAUAAGAAAAAUUUAUUUAAGAAUUAGGGCCAAUCAUGAAAAUAAAGUUACAAUUAGACAUAUGCAUGUAUCAUGUCAUUGAUAAGUUGUCCAAAAUUGUCACAAAUUUUUCGUGUUUAAGUGGACCACAAUACUGACGAUUGAUCAGACGAAGAUGUGAAGAUAAGGGUACCGACAAGUAGAAUAAGAUUGUCCAACAACUUUGAUCCCAGCGUCACAAAUUCAGUUACAGGAGUUAAACUUUUGAAAUUAUAUUUUAGUUGAAGCUAAAUUAUUUUAUUUUAUUUUAUUUUAUUUUAUUUUUUUAUUUUUAUUUCAAUUUUUUAGCUGUUAAAAUUUUAUAAGUUUUUUUAUUUUUUUCCUUCAUUUUAUUGUACAUAAUUAAGUUUUUUUUUAAUUUUAUUUUUACUUUUAAUUUUAAUUUUACCUUAGUAAAAAUCCUCAAAAGAAUUGGUUUUAAAUUUUUUUAUUGGGUUGGGAAAAGAGUAUAAAAGGAGUUUACCGCCGGAAUCUCCUUCAUUCUCAAGAUUCCGGCCGCAAACCUCUAAAACAUUCUCUCUCUAAUCAAAAAAAAUCGUCAAAUCUUGCAAAUCUAAUCUGUUAGUCUCAAAGUUACUGAGUUCUAGAUCAGAAAUAUGCAGUUUAUUGUGUGAUAUACCAUGUCAUUUGAGCAGAAAUCGAGAAAAAUGAGUACGACGGAGUUUACGGCCGCAAGCUUGGGCCACAAACCCUGUUCUUGAUCCGUAAACGUCUGUAUGACCGCAAAUUGCUUGCGGUCGCAAACUACGAUUGAUUAUUGUGUUGUUUUGCGACCGUACACUCUUAAUUAAAUGCAUUUUUCAUGGUUUGAUCAAAUUUUGUGUUCAUCGACCGUAAACACAGUUCUACGGCCGCAAACCUUGUUCUUGGGCCGUGAACUAGUGUUGACCGUGAAAUUAUGUUGACUUCCAAAUUUGGAUUUAAUUUAAAUGAAUAUUUUUUUUAUUUUUGACCCAAAUAUUUAAAUCAAAAUAAUUAAUAUUUUUUUGGGAUCAAAAUUAAAAUUAAAUAUUUUGGUUGUUCGUUUGGCAUGUUUUCGUGUCUUACUUAGUAUGGUUGACUGCAGGAAAAUGGCGAACCUGAAAUUUGCGGAUAUGCACAAUCUUGCUAUUGUCCUUGCGGAUCCUCCAGUUGUUCAUUCGGAUCUUCAAUCAAUGAUUCACAGACUUUGGGAGUGUUGUUUGGCAUCUGCUAUUACAGCAAAUCCUAUUGUUUAUCAGAACUUAAUCAGAGAAUUCUGGGGGACUGCAAGCAUGGAUAUGAGUGAUGCCGGUCAUUUUACUGUUAAAGCUACAGUUCAAGGUCGUGCAAUUGUGAUUAAUGAAAGCUUUAUCAGAGAGACGCUGCUGAUUGAUGAUCAACCUAAUUACCCCACGGAGAUUGGAAUUGAAGAGAGUACUCAAAGAAUUCUGAGGAGAAUGAUUUAUGAAGGCACAUCACCUCUAACUUCAAAGAAACUUUUUCAUCCAUAUUGGAGACUGUUAGCACACGUAUUCAUUAGAUGCAUGAGAGGAGAUCGGGACCAGAUGAGAUUUCUCAAAGGAAUACCGGUGCCAUUGUUUCUCUCGGUGCAGGAAUAAAGUUCAAUUUUUCGAGAUUCAUUUUGGAUGAGUUUGUUGUCAACAUUCGAGCUUCAACUCAGGAUACUUUCUUGUUCUAUCCUAGAUUCAUUCAGCUGUUCAUCGAGGCUUAAUUUCCGGAUGUGCGAAAGGAACGUGAUGUUUUGGAUAUGAAAUCAUUGGGUCCCUACACUGUAGGACUCAUCAAACAGAAUCGAAAAGGAAAGUUUAUUUUUCAAGGAAAAUACUCGCUUGAAAAGUUUGGAAAGUUCACUGAACUAAAUGAGCCUACAGAAUCUUAUGGUUCAUCUGACCAGGCCUCUUUUGAGCCUGCAUCUUCUGAGAAGUCGACUCCAAACAACAUUGUUAUUGAUGUAUCUGACGAUGAAAGUACUAAGAAGGAAGAUACUCCUACCCUUGACACUCAUGUGGCUGAGGAACAUGGAAAAAUGCCUAAUCUUGCUCAAGGUGAUAAUUCAGGAAUGCACGUGGAGUUUACAGAAAAUGUUAAAGGCGACAACAAUGAUUCCUUUGAUGAUCUUGAUCUCUCUGGUUUUGAUCAUGAUUACAUUAUAGCUUCUCUAGCUAGCAGUGCUAACUUGGUGUCAAAUGAGAAUCUUGACACUAUCUUUAACAAUGUCGAUGAUGUUGUCCUUCCAACAACUGAGACAAGGGAGUCAAAUGAAGUUUUUGAAACUGCAACCCCUACUUCAAGUCAAAUGGCAAGUGUUUCGAUUCCAAUGGAGACGGUUAUGGGAUGUUCCCCUCCUGUUUCUGUUCCUCCUACCUUAGAGCCAUUUGUGAGUAGUUUUGCAACGACAUAAUCUGAUCAUCCCCCGUUGAAAAGACAAAGAAGGGAUAUGAGGCAGAGUGAUGUAAUUGCAAGUCUCGUUAGCGGCCUCCCAGUACCACCUACUACUACUACUACUCCCAGUCUUACCACAACCAAACUUUUUUCUGUGGGUCCAGACACUACCUUUGAGGUUGGUGGUUCCUCUAUUCCACCAGGGUUUACUCCUCCUCGAUCUGAUCGUGAUGAAGCUUCUGUGAGAUUAGUUAUGCAUAUGGCUGAGGAGCAACUUCUAAUGCCAUCUCCUCGUGGUAAAGGUAUUGCUAUAGGGGAUGGUGGUUAUGGAGGAGACAACUUAACUGUCUCAGGGCUACAGAAGGAGAUAUCGGUGCUAAGUCAGAAAAACAUUGAGCUUGAUAUUCAAGUGUCAGAACUUUGAGCUGAAAAUUCAAAGCUUGGUGUUCAAGUGUCUGAGCUUCAGUCUGAUAAUUCAAACCUUGGUGUGCAAGUAGCUGCUCUUACUAAGGAUAAAGAGCUAAAGUCAAAACAGAUUUCCGAUCUCCAAGAUCACUUCAAUCUAUUGACUUCAAGCUACUUUGAGCUGAAGAAGAAACUUCAGGAAGACCUCGGUGAUAAAUACCAGACGUCUGCUGAUGAAUACAAGAUUAAUCUACAUGUCCAAGCUUUUCCAGUUUCUUUGCCAACUGGUCAAACAUCAGGAGUUGUUAAUCGUGUUGAAGCUAAGCCUCCAAAAGCUACCCAUGUUUCAAAAACCAUUCGCGAAGCACAAGAGGAAGCAGCUAAGAAAGGGCAACUGGUGUUUAAAAGAAACCCUAAUCAAAAUGCUUCUUGGGAUGAACCUACGAUUACAAUGACUGAUCUUGAAGUCGUUCAAUACAGAGAUACUUUUUGUGAUAGAUCGGGAAUUUCUUCGUGGGGAUUUCAUGAUCCUCUCAACAUGUGGAAGUGUUAAGGAAAAGUGGCAAUUCUGAACUUUAUAGAGAUAGUCAUGACUUCAGUUCAUGGACUAGAGUUGAUCUGACUAAAUUAUCUCGAGCUCCUUUCUUCAAUUUAACAAAAACUCCUCAUGUGACUCAGUUUAAGCACUUCCUUGAAGAUCAAGUCAAGAAAGGCUUUCCAGCAAUGAAUACUGUUAGGUCUGUCAUAGAAGAGCAUUCUGAUAUCCUUGAUCCUAAAACUGAUAAGCCUUUGCAAGUCGUGAUGUGGCCCGCAACCAUGCAGGUCAAACAGUUCCCUAUUCUUCAACAUUAUCAAGAUGGAUCUCUAAGUUCUAUGGAGUGUUGGGUCUUUGAUGAAUUUACUUCCACUGCGGUCAUCAAGCUCAAGAAUGGGUGCAUUCGACUCUACGACCGAAGAGAUUCGUUACAAUUUCGAAAAUGGGAUAUUCAUCACCUAAGCAACUUCCAGAUUUUGGUUGCAGAGGAUACUUUUGAAGAUACUGCGAAGGUGUAUACAACUAUGGUUGCUGAGAUUCUUAACAAACAGAUAUGGAAUGGGGCAAUGGGGCAAGCGGACGUCAUGGUAGUUACUAAAGGUUAACUUCAAGCUAGUCCAAACCAAGGGGGAGAUUGAAGGGCCCGAUUUAGUGGUUUGGUCUAGGCCUUACAAUGUAAUAGUAGGGAGUGUGUUAGUAGUGUGCUUUUGAAUAUUUUACGGUUGUAAUGAGUUUACGGCCGUAAACACCUUACGUCCGUAAACUCUUCUCGGUCGUGGUCCCUAUAUAUAGAGGGUUAGUCAGACGUUUUGUGGUUGUUGAUGCCUUACUGUUCACGGCUUUCCAUCGAGUUGUACCAGACGUUUAUUGAUAUAAAAUAUGUGCAAGCUUGGUUUAUUCUCUUUUCGCUUCUAUUAUUGCUUUGUGUGAUUGUGUUUGCUAUUGAUCUUUGCUAAGAUCCGUUAUUUGGACUUUACAUCUUUUUUCCACAUGCACACACUUCACUGCACUUUACUAUUCCCUUCUCAGAUUCUCUAUCUAUAUGCAAAUACAUCAUUUUCAAAGUCAGAUUAUUUAGUGUUUGCACUUUUUUACUUUCUGUUUCACUCAUGCCUUAGAACCUAGGUAAAGCAGCUAAGUUAGAUAAAGAAUAUCACUUACUUGAUCAUGGAACAUCCUUAGCCAAGUAGAGCAUCUUAUCCAAUGGAUCGUCCUCUUCAAGAAAGCCAUAUGUGUUUGUCUUGGUUUAUGGAGCAUUCUUGUAUAUUGUGAAGAAGGUCAAGAUCAAAAGCCUUAAAGAAAUAAUAUUUGGAGAAACAACAUACAACUUGGACCAUCUUGGAUCAUCUCCUCAUCUUUUGACCAACUGGAUGAAUGACUGGACCAUCUUCAUUCAUCUUGAUCAUCUUGAGGCACGUUGGACCAUCUUCAUUAAUUUGAUCAUCCUGAGGCAUCGUGGAACAUCUUCAUCAUCUCGGUCAACUGGUAGUAUCUUGGAGCAAGUUCACCAACUUGAACGAUCUUUAUCACCUGAUGCAUCACGCCCAUGUGUCUCAUUGAGUCCAUAUAAAGCAUAAUAAAUGUGUCAUGCAGGUUUUGAAUAGGUAACAUGAACGUUUCAAGUAGGCCAUGCACAAUUCAAGUAUGUGAUGCACAUUUCUAGUAGAUCUUUCCUUAGGUGCCAUGCACGUCUCAAGGAUAUCAUCCAUGCGUGCACCACCUUUUCUUUCUUGCUUCUCAAGGCGUCAUUCUCGCGCUCGCGACUCAAGUUGAAAUACUCCUAUUUAUACUUGAGUACCAUCCAAGCCAAAUGGGCCCACAUGUUGGCCCAUGCAAUCCCUAUUUUGGCCCAUUGAGAAACCCUAGAACCCUUCAACUAUAAAUACCUCACUNAUCAAAAGCCUUAAAGAAAUAAUAUUUGGAGAAACAACAUACAACUUGGACCAUCUUGGAUCAUCUCCUCAUCUUUUGACCAACUGGAUGAAUGACUGGACCAUCUUCAUUCAUCUUGAUCAUCUUGAGGCACGUUGGACCAUCUUCAUUAAUUUGAUCAUCCUGAGGCAUCGUGGAACAUCUUCAUCAUCUCGGUCAACUGGUAGUAUCUUGGAGCAAGUUCACCAACUUGAACGAUCUUUAUCACCUGAUGCAUCACGCCCAUGUGUCUCAUUGAGUCCAUAUAAAGCAUAAUAAAUGUGUCAUGCAGGUUUUGAAUAGGUAACAUGAACGUUUCAAGUAGGCCAUGCACAAUUCAAGUAUGUGAUGCACAUUUCUAGUAGAUCUUUCCUUAGGUGCCAUGCACGUCUCAAGGAUAUCAUCCAUGCGUGCACCACCUUUUCUUUCUUGCUUCUCAAGGCGUCAUUCUCGCGCUCGCGACUCAAGUUGAAAUACUCCUAUUUAUACUUGAGUACCAUCCAAGCCAAAUGGGCCCACAUGUUGGCCCAUGCAAUCCCUAUUUUGGCCCAUUGAGAAACCCUAGAACCCUUCAACUAUAAAUACCUCACUUCUACUUCUCAUUCUUGCUUUUUCACUCUCUCACAAAUUCUUACCUUCGUACUCACUUGAAGCAACAAGGCGUCGUGAGCAACAGUUGCAUAUGCAACAGGCAUCUUAAGUUGGUGAGAAGCAAGAAGCAUCCUUGGCACAACAGCAAGUUUGGCUCAACAAGAAACCCAUUUAAAAAACAAAAAAAAAAAAAAAAAAAAAAAAACCUCUCUCGAGCCAUAAGUUUGUGGUUGCAAAAUCCUUAGUUGGCUCAACAACCUCCUUAUUUUCGGAAAUCCCAUCUUGAGCCACAAGUUUAUCUCAAAACCCUUGUUUGGCUCAACAAACCCUAAUUGUGAUCAACAAGGAUUUUGGAUGUCCUCUUGAGCCAUUGAUGAUCAACAAGGUUUUUGUGUUCUCUUAAGCCAUUGAUGAUCAACAAGGUUUUUUGUUCUCUUGAGCCAUUGAUGAUCAACAAGGUUUUUGUGCCCUCUUGAUCCAUUCGUGAUCAACAAGGAUUUUGUGUGCCCUCUUGAUCCAUUCAUGAUCAACAAGGUUUUUGUGCCCUCUUGAUCCAUUCGUGAUCAACAAGGAUUUUGUGUGCCCUCUUGAUCCAUUCAUGAUCAACAAGGUUUUUGUGCCCUCUUGAUCAUCAAUUAAAUUCGAAAUUCUUUCUUGAGCCAAACCUUGAUUUCGAAAUCCCUCUUGAGCCAUCACUAGUUUCGAAAUUCCUCUUGAGCCAUUCAUGAUCAACAAGGUUUUUGUUCCCUCUUGAUCAUCAAGUAAUUUCGAAAUUCUUUCUUGAGCCAAACCCUGAUUUUGAAAUCCCUCUUGAGCCAUCACUAGUUUCGAAAUUUCUCUUGAGCCAUUCAUGAUCAAGAAGGUUUUUGUGCCCUCUUAACUAUCAUGUAAUUUUGAAAACCUUCUUGACCCAAGCCAAAAUUUCCAAAUUCACUCUUGAUCAUCAACAACCUUAUCUUGAUCAUCAAGCAAUUUUGAAAAACAUUCUUGACCCAAGCCAAAAUUUCGAAAUUCCCUCUUGAUCAACAACAACCUUAUCUUGAUCAUGAAGCAAUUUCGAAAACCUUCUUGACCCAAGCCAAAAUUUUGAAAUUCCCUCUUGAUCAUCAACAACCCUGUCUUGAUCAUCAAGCAAUUUCGAAAACCUUCUUGACCCAAGCCAAAAUUUCGAAAUUCACUCUUGAUUAUCAACAACCUUAUCUUGAUCAUCAAGCGAUUUCGAAAACCUUCAUGACCCUAUACCAGCCUCAUGAGUCUCGUAAUUCCUUCCAGCCUCAUUUUGAUCAUCCUUGACGCAACUUUACAUCUUGCGCCACAUAUCACUCUUGUGUCAUCCUCCCUUAUUGGCCAUCACUCCUUGUCCCUCUAUACACUUCUUGUGCAAAUAUCACUUGCGCCACCCUCUUUUUCUUCUCCUCUUACGCCAACCCUAAUUCACGUUCGUGCAUUCAUCUUGGCACAACACUCCAUCCUUUAACACAUUCUCAUGAUCCGACUUUGUAAUUGGUACAUCCGAUUACGACCAUCUCAGCCCAUGCUCACAUCAAUAUCAAAUUGGCACAUCAUCCCUCUCUUAAUCAUGAUCAAUCUUCAGUCAAAACUCUUUGGCGCAUCAUCAAUUCACAUCGUGACUAUCUCCUAGAUGCGCAACUGAUCAUUGGCGCAACUCCGAUCCGACUGCAUUGCGCAACUUCAAUCAGCAACGCCUCAGUUUUUGGUAAUCUUUUUGUUGGCGUAAUUGAUCAUUGGUGCAUAUCCAUCUCGUGAUCCUCUUAUGAUCAUCAGGUAAUUAUCGAGAGUUCGAGACUAACUUCAGCCCUAGUUCUCAAGUGUUUUUUUAAUCCUUAAUACACAUACUUGUAUGACGUUUCUUUUGUAGUUGUCGAUUUUUUUGUUAGUGAGAUAUGAUCUAAGUACAUGAUCAGAUUUAUGAAUCAUGUUUUUGUGAGCAUCAUCUUGUCCGAUCAUCAACCUUCCUAGCUGUGAAGUUUUCUCUUUUUGGUCAUGAUCUUAUGCUUAAUUCUUUUUAGUGUAUGUGUAAACCUGCUACUCCAUCUCCCAUCAUCACUUUUUUUUUAAACCCCUGAUGUAAAGUUUUUUUUUUUUUUUGACAUUCAAAUUAGGGGUGAGAAUGGUGCGGUUUGGUGCGGUUUUCAGACCAAACAGAACCGCAAACCGCAUGGUGCGAUUUUUGCAUUCUUAAAACCGUUGGGUGCGGUUUUGCAAUGGUUCGGUUUUUCGGUUUUUAAAUGCGGUUUCGGUUUCUUUCGGUGCGGUUUCGGUUUUUAAACCGUGUUAUGAAUUUGGUGCAGUUUUUUUUUAUGUUUUUGGUGGGGUUUUUUAAAACUGUAAGAACUGAAAACCCGGUGCAUAUAAGCUUGUAUUGUGCUGUUUUUUUUAACACAUUCAUUUUCAGCUCAAAACAAAAUUACAUAAUCAAAAAUUGUAAGUCGCUUAAAAUACAACUUGUGACCACUCUCACAAACUAAUUAAUAAUUGAAGGUUGGUUGAUUUUGACUUAAUUUGUUACAAGCUUAUUACAUGUAAUUGAUUAGUACCUUUGGCUAACAAUAGAACAUUUCUUUUGCACCUCAUAUAGUCUUUAUACAAACACAAAAUAAACAUAUAAUAAAUAUAUUAUCGUUUAUAACUAUUUUAAAUAGCAUGUAUAUAAUAUACAUUGAUUGAUUUAUUACUAUACACGCUUGCGGUGCGGUUCGGUUUUGGUGGACUGGUUUUUAGGAUAGAAACCGCACCGCACCGUUCACCUUCGGUUUUUGCAAAAAUUAAAUCCGCACAAUUGGUUUUUGCAUCGGUUUCGGUUUUUCGGUUGCAGUUUAUUGCGGUUUUGUCGGUUUUUCUUUAGUCGGUUCGGUUUUUGCUCACCCCUAAUUCAAAUCAAUGUGUAUGAGCAGUUUUGUUUUUAGAGAGUCAUCACGUGUGAAUCUUACAACAUCGUCUGUUCAUCUACAAACCUUAGGUAAGAUUCAUGUUAAUUUUUUUUUCAUAUGCAUGCUUGAGUGAAGGUCUCUCUUUGUUGAAUCAUCACCGAGGAUUCAAUAUCUGAUUCGCGCAACUCCUCACUUCCUCACUUUGAGCAUCAUCAUCUCUUGAGUGAAGGUGUCUCUUUUAUUUUUCUUUCUUUCUUUUCUUCUUGAGCCAAUUUUUAUUUUCUUCUUGAGUCACCAUCGAGCUAUCUUGGAAAGCCAACGUGAAGUGCUCAUGCACCUCAAGAAACCCCCCAGCAACAUGUUGUGUAGAACCAAGGCUUCAAAAAAACUUUUUGUGACAAUUUUUUUUGGUGAGACUUGAAUGUUACAUCUUUUUAAUCAUUUGUGACGGUCCUGCUGUCGCAAAAGGGUUACACAUAAGCAUUAAAAACAAGGCUUCACAAACUUUUUGUGACAAUCAAAAUUUGCUUGUGACCCUUGCAUGGAGCUUUUGUGACAGUUUUGAUGUCACAAAAGGUACAUUCAAGUUGUGGUGUGAUAAAAAAAAUUAUACAUUUUUUUUUGUUGGUUACACUCUCACACACAUGCACGAUUUUUCUCCCUUUUCCUUUUAUUUAUUUAUUUUUAAAUUCUUUUAUUUCAAUUUUGUUUAUUACUAUUUUUUUUAUCUUUCUAUUUUGUUUUAUUUUUAUUUAUUUCUUUAUUGUUUCUUUUUUUUUAGCUAUCACUUGAAUAAGGCAUCAAUAAACACUAUCUUAGUUUAAAUUUCACAUCUUUAUCGAUAUUCUUAGUGUUUAUUUGAUAUUCAAGGGAUAUCCAUAGAAUUAUUUUAUCCAACCCUAUUUUGAAAAUAUCAUUCAUGAUUAAAAAAUAUUUCUUUUUAUUUUUUAAAAUUUUGUUUUGAUUCGCUAUGGUCCUAUAAGGCCUAGACCUAGCAACUUUGCUUUAUCAUAACACUUUUGGUAUGAUUUUAGCAAAAUAUCAAAGUUUUUAUCUAUUUUUCAGUUUGUAGAAAAAGCUCAAGUCUUUCAUUCUUAUUCAACACUUGAUCUUUUCUUCAAACUUGUGGCCUAAAUAAAACACAACAUGAUUUUGCAAGUUAUUCUUAUCUGUCAGUUUACUUUCCUAUCUUGACAAAACAAGUUUUUGUCUAGAUCAUGCAAAUUCAAAACAUUUUUUUAAUCAAUUCCAAUUUUUUUGUUGUCAUAUUGACAAUUAAAUUUUCUUUAAGAAAAUCUUUCAAGUUCGAAAAACACAUUCUCUCAAAUAAUUUUUAAAGUUUUUUUUUUUUUUUUUUUUUUUUUUUUUUUUUUUUUUUUUUGGUUCUUCUUCAACCUAAAUUUCCAUUAAAGCAAAGGGGGGAAAUGUUAAAUCAAUAUUUUUCCUUUUUCACACUUUUUACAACUCCUUAUUUCAGUAACCAUAACAUAGGGGAAACUAUUGGAAAUAUUUUGAUGUGAUUUUCACUUCAAAUAAGUUGAGUAUUGAUUUACAUUUUCUAAUAAACAUUAUCAGAAUGUUUCAGGUUGAAAAGAUCCUGAAGAUUCAACAAGUGUUUGAAGAAUCAAAUGUUGGAGCACUUGAAGUUGAACUUGGAGCACUUGUUGUUGACAUGGAGUACCCGCUGAAAGCAAGUUGGAUCAUCAUGAUCUCAGAUAGCACAUCUAGAUUAUAUGUGGAGCAUCAAAACACUGAUGGAUCAUUUGGAAUAUUGAUGGCUCAUCAGAAACAUUGUUGACUCAUCCACAACUCUAUGGCUCAACAAGAGUUGAUGGCUCAAUAAGAACAGUUGGUGGCUUAACUCAAGUCAAUGGGUCAACAUGAUCACAUUGAUGGCUCAACAAGACUGCACAUGGCAUAUCAUGUACAAUGAAGGAACGUCCAAAUGCUCAAAGGAACAUGAAUUUCGUCCAUGGUCCAUCAUGCACAUGUGGUGGUACAUCUUUAAGUUCAAGUCACAGUCCAACACUCAAAGUAACAACUCAACUUGGUCAACAACACUUCUGGAAGUUGAUGACAUCUAAGUUGACAAUUGAGUAACAUGAUGCUCAUGUUGCUCAUUACUUUUUCAAUGUUGAUCAAGAAGGUUCAAGAAUUAUGAAGACUCAUAACUUGGAUGGAACCCUAAUGGAAUACUAACGGAAUUGGAAUAUUCCAUCCAUUCUUCGUUAAAUAGGGCGAAGGUGUCAACUGAUGAUGACCUAGUCAUGAUGACGUGUCAACACCUGAUUGGUCAAGCCAUGUCAAGGGCUUUUCCAAAGCCUAUAAAUAGGCCCCUUGGGAUCCAUUAUAAAGUUGUUCUUCCUUGCUCAUUUGAGAUCAUUCUGCACAAUUGUUGUUUAGAGUAGUCUUCAGAGAGCCAUUUGAAUGUUUUGGCUUGUCUAUCAUUCAAACACUUGUAACUGAAUCUUGUUGAAUAUGAGACACUUUUGAAUUAUUGAUCUUGAACAUAUAAAAAACGUUUUUAUCAUUAAGUUGGUGAUUCAAAACUCUUUAUUUUUCACAUUAGUUGCCACUUGACGAUUCUGAAAUUCUGUUUUGGUAUUUUCAACACUUGGACUACUCUAAUCUAGGUUUACUGAAUUUUUCUCAUUUCUUCAAUUAUAAUUUCCUAAUAACGUUACUAUAAUUAAAUAAAAGCUAUAUUAAAAAUAGUGUAGACAUAGCUCACUUACAGCAGGUUUUAUAGAAAACCGGGCUUCACUUGGAGCAGCGUUUCCGAGCUGAAAGACCCUUUCUCUCGGGACUCCGGGAGCCUCAGGGCUUCCUUCGGGUGCUAGGGGGUUUACCUAGCCUUAGGAGGGGGUUAGGGAUCCUAGAGAGAGAAAUAAGUUAGAGAGAAGUGAUUUUGCUGCAAGAGAUUCGGCUGCCUUCACUUCCUUUUUAUAGCCUGUGAGGCCUCGAUAUGUUGGGCGUACCACGGACCUACGCUGGGCGUAGUGCUUCGUUCGUAGAACACGUGUUGCGGCUUCAGUGGGGCGACGUGGCUUCUCCUGGACCGAUGGAUGCAACAAUACGCGGGGCAUAACUCUUUCCGACGAGGGGUGUACUUCUCAUUCUCAAGGCACCCUUCGGACUACGCCGGGCAUUCUCGGAUUACGCUGCGCGUAGUCCUCGCACCAGCUGUCACCAUCUGAAGCGAGGCGUGGGCAACAAGGAACGGAUGAGAUUUGGCCACGUCAUCAAUCUCUUAUCAGAUUUUGCAAAUUCACUUUCCGGCUUCUAAAAAUCAUAACUUUCGCAUACGAGAUCCGUUUUCGACGUUCUUUAUAUCCACGCGUAGGCGGGAAUGUACUCUACAACUUUCGUUUAGACUCUGUCGUCUAAUUUUGACUUUAAUAUAAAAUUUAUAUUAUUAACAGGCCAGGACAAGAUUGGUCCGUUAAAAAUUCAUAACUUCCUCAUCAGACGUCCGUUUUCGUCUGUCUUUUUACCGCUACGCUACUAUUAACGAGAUAUUUGAUUCUUGUUUAGGUUAUGUCGGCUAAAAACCGCUCAAUCUAAUAUUCGAAUUUCAAGCUGUAUAUUGCUAAGCCGAAACUUCGAAAAAUCAUAACUUCCUCAUACGAAGGCAGAUUUGGGCGUUCUUUUCAUGGAUGCUAUCAGUUUAACGUAUUCUACGACUUUCGUUUAGAUCACUAAGUCUGAAUAUCACUCUAUCGUAAAUUCACUAUUUGCGUUUCCCGGUGUCGUGUCGGUUUCGUCUCGAAACUUCGACGGGUCAUAACUUAUUCGUCAUAACUUGGAUUUCGGCGUUCUUUAUAUGUACGGAAACCUUGUAAUAUAUACUAAAACUUGGUUAAGAUUAUUUAUUAUAAAUAAUCUUUUUCUGAAAAGUCAAUUUCGACACUUAUUGCCUCUAAAUUGACUAGCCCGGAUCUGCAGGCAUUACAUGAGGCAACAAAGGAGGCUAUAUGGAUAAAGAACUUCAUUGGAGACCUUGGAGUUGUACCUGCUAUAAAGGAGCCUAUAGAGAAUUUAUAUGAUAGUGAAAGUGCAGUUGCCUUAGCUAAGGAACUAAGGGAUCACAAGAGAUCCAAACACAUCGAUAGAAAAUACCACUUCAUCAGACAUUGAAUAGAAAAAGGACUCCUCGUGGCAAAGAGGGUAUCAUCAGAUGAGAACCCAGCUGAUCCCCUCACGAAGGGAUAGGGUAGGGUUAGGCAUCUCCAGCAUGCGAGGCACAUAGGGCUGAAGGAUGAUAUUUGUUUUAGUAGUUAGAUAGCUUUGAAAUGUGUAAAGUGUAAUUGACAUUUGAUGAUGAAUAAAAGUUGUUUAUUUAUGAGUAAAGUGUUGCUAUCUUUUGUCAAUCGUUUACUAUCGUUUCAUUUUUGAAUGUUUUGACUUCCAAAAUAAUUAUGUUAUGGUAUUUCAUAUUAUUCAACUUCUCCACAGUCGGUCAUAUGUUGAAAGUAGAUAUGAAUCAAGACUGUCAUGUAGUUGGUUGUAGAUGUCUAAGAUGUUGGACAUAGCAAAGUGUUGCUACAACACUCAUGAGUGUUUAUAAGUUCUGAGUAUUGGAUUCAACCCACGCUCACUUGUAUCACUACAUGGAAUUCAUCUCGAGUGAUCGUGAGAUGGUAAUAUCAUAUAAGUCUUCAAACAUAGAGAUACAGUUUGUUGCCUAUGAGUUGGUUAUACGUUGAUUGUACGAAAACGCAUUCGUAACUCGAUGUUUUAAAACAUGCCUAUAUGUAUGAUUCAACAAGUAGUAGAACAAGCAUAUGAGUUGAAGUUUAUAUGUUCCUUCUUGGAUUAGAAGUGAUAUUUAGGCCCCUCAAUGAUUUUGUGUUGACCCAUGUACCGGGCCCAGUCAGAACUAAGUUGAUGUGUUCAAUUAAGUUCUAUGUCAAACAAAUCGGAAAUCGGAAAACAAACUGUUGGACAAUAAGUAAGACAUUGUUCCAUGUAUUUGUCUGACUGAUAUCUAGAACAGAUGAUUAUAUGAUCACUCAUCUUCAAUGGUGUAUCAUCAUCUUCUCAGUUCAACGAGACCUUGAAAGAGCUACGAUUGCUGAUCGGUUCCUGAAGUCAUUCUUGCAGUUAUAGUUAUUAGACUUAUCCAAGUGGGAGACUGUUGGAUUAGGUGUCUAAGUUCAUAACUAUUCCUAGAAUGUACUUGACCCAGUUAGCAUGGUUUAUUUGGGUUGCAUGACAUUGCAACACUUGGAUAGACUAAAUGAGAGAAAGGACACUUAAGGAUUAUUAAUAUAUUAUAAGUUCUAAUAUAUUAAUAAUAUUAUUUAAUUAGUAUUGAUCAAAAAAUUAAUUUGAAAUUAAUUAAGUGAUCAAAAAGAGACUAAUUAAAUAUUUGGGGUUGAUUGUGUAAAUCAUCUAUUCUUGUAUAGUGGGCUAAUGAUCCAUGGUUUGUAUGGAUUGGGCUAAAACCGAUAAGGUGAUCCAUGGAUAGUCCAUGGAGGUUACAAACUCAUGGAUCAUGGAAUAUGGAAAGCCAUGACAAUUAGGGUUUACAUGGUGUAACCCUACUUGUGCCGCAACUAUUUAAAGACCCCUUGACUAGCAAAAAUUGGCACUACUACAAGUAAGUACAAGAGGGCUAGCCGAGUUUUGAGUGUUAGUGAACUUCUAUCAAGGUUAUUCUAAGUGUUGUGGUGUUGUGUGAGACAUUUGAGGCAUCACACUUGAGGUGUUAGGCUCACAAGGUUCUUAAGGAAUCCAAACAACAAAAAGGUAUGUUCUUUUACUAGCAUUUACAUUAAAAAGUUCGCCAUGCCAUGCUAGUUAGGUUAAGAACCUUAGAAAAGCAAUUUUGCAUGUAUCUUAGUAAAACAUAGAUCCAAGGUUUCUAGGGUUUCAUGUACACCUUAGGAGUGUUAGAAUGCUCAAAACCCUUUAGUUUCUUCUUACACUUGUCACACCAUUUUUCUUUGGCACCUCCUCCAAAUUUACUCGAACCAGACUUCGAGAACUUACUCUUCUUGUUGGAACCUGAAGUUCCUUCAAACUUUUUUUUCUCGCCAACUUCAACCUUGCUGGCGGAUCUUCCCUUGAUCAUAUGUUCAACAAACUUGGCAGCCCAGAUAGCUGCCUCCAAACUAAGUUUCUGGCGCACUGGUACCACAUACUCCCAUUGAAGUCCCUUUGGUGUAUUCAUCAAUAGAUAUACUUGAUUUUCUAACUGAAGUCCCAUUGAAUUCCUUUUGGUGUAUUUCCUUCUUGAAUGUUAAAUAAUUGAUUUUCUAACUCAAGCACAUUUUGGGUCGAGCAAUACUUGCACUUGAAAUGCACCAAGAACUCUACCCAAGUCAGUUGUAGUUGCUCAUUAGGGAUUAGGGACUUCCCCAAAGUGUUCCACCAGCAAACAGCGCCACCUCUAAACUGACGCACUGCAAAUAUGGUUUGUAGCUUGCCUUUGCAACCACAUGUCAUAAAAGCUAAUUCCAUCUCCGAGAUCCAAUCCAUUACUCUGAUAGGAUCUUCGUUUCUAGUGAAGGUUGAUGGGUUGCAAGUCAUAAAACCUUUGUACUGGCAUCCUUUUUUCUCAACUACUUCCUCUUGGUUAUUCCUUCUAUCCACAAGCGGUUCAGUUUGACCAACAGAUCUACUGUAAUUUCCUUCCUCUGAAUGAUAAUCAUUUAAUUCAAGUUGUUCAACAGGCAUUGAAUAUUCAUUCAUGUUGUUCAGCAAUAAUUGCUUCAUUUCUUCCCUUUGUUCAGCCAUCAUUGUCUAAAUCAUGGUUUGUACUCCAGCCAUGGUGAUCGGUUCUAGUGCAGCUUCUGCUAUAGGCACCUGCUCCAUCACAUGAGGUUGAGGUUGCUGAUUUCUACUUGCAUUUCCAGCUCCACUUCGGGUUCUUGCCAUUUUGAUCUAUACUCCAAAUUAGGUGAAUUUAGAUAUUUAUUCAAGAUAGAUAUUUAAAUUCUCCUGAUCACUCUGAAACAUUAAAUGCUAGUUCUAAUAUCGUAGUCAUACGCUUAGAAUCCUAAACACAUAAGGUUUCCAGAUCUAGUUAGCAACAGACCAUAGAUCCGCACAAUUAAUAGAAUAUAUAGCAAACAUAUAGCAUUUAGCACAUAAAAACAUUUUAGGCAUCUUUCUUAAAAUAAACUAGUGCUCAUAUCUAAACUAUGGUAGACACUCAUCUCACGAUCAUCACUUAGCAUUCUAAGUUUAAGUCUAGAAAUCCUACAAAUUCCUAGUUCGCUUAAACUAAUGCUAUGGUACCAACUAUGACAUCCCCAAAUUUCCCUGCCAGAAAAGACCGAUUUAGUUUUUCCUUUAAAAUAAAAUCAAAGUAAUCUUCUAAAAGAUGUUGCGGAAUUUAUCCCCAAAACAAAAUAUGAUAAAAAUUUAUCAAAGCAAUUCUUAAAUAAAUGUAUUUUCACUAUAUAACAAAACAUCAGGAUGCCAUGUUCCGAUACAGACCAAAAGCAUAAACAGUACAUUAUAAGCCUUACAAUAGUUAUUUACAUCUACGAGCCUAUAAUUCAAGAAUCCCUCGUCAUCCCCAACAAUGCUCUCAGUCCACUACCUGUAACAAAAAGCUGAGUGGGUCAGGCUUGGAAGCCUGGUGAGCAUAUAGGGUUUUCAACUCACAAAUAAUAAAUUUAUUUAUUUCAACAACCAACAAUAAAUUUAUUAGUUUCAUCAACCAACAAUAACGUUGCUUACCCGUUCCUGUUAUCCUCACUUUACGUCCCUAAACACCUAUCACAAGGGACCUAGCCUAAGGAUCAUCAUCAGGAUGGACACUACUGCUAAGGGGAUUCCUCAGCCAUACAUGUCCUUAAGGCAACCAAGAGGGGGAAGGAGUACACCAGCGAACAUAUAGUUCACCAACACCUACAGGUUGCGAGCCUGCUAAUGUUCCAUUGGACUGUCUAGAAAGGUCUGUGGUUGUCAUCUAUACUCUGCUAGAUGAAUACAACAACAACAACAACAAUAACAUCGAGGCCUCUCAUAAUUUUAACACACAUCAACUAUUUCAUCUAGACAUGUUUUACCCAACAUAUUUGUAGAUAAACAUACAUAUACCAUUUAAAACUUGUAUAAAACAUUUAUUCAACACCCAUCUCAAAUAAACAAACAAUAUAAUUACACAUAGCACGUAUUUUUAAGAAAAUACUUCAUAUUUAUGUGUAAGAUGAAAGUGACUACACGCUCACUUAAUUUAACGAUAAUCAGGAAGCACUUCGUCUCUUAAAACGAUCAUUUUCGAUAAAAACCGGGAUGUUUUCUCAAAAACCGGGCUUCACGCGGGCAAAGUUUCGUCUCGAAAAACUUUUUUCUUGGGAUCUUCGGGCUCUCUGGGCUUGCUUACAAUGCUAGGAUAGUAUUUUAGGUUUAGGGGUAAUUUUUGCAAUAUAAAAGAAACUAUACGGAUGUGAGGAUGGAAAUUGUAACAUCAAUUCGGCUGGCAUCGUCCACUAUUUAUAGUGGUUGAACACUCGAGUUACGUUGGGCGUAACUCUAUGGUACGCGGGGCGUACUGCUUCACCAGCCACUAAGUUGGGCGUACGAAGGGAUCGUCUCAGAUGCAUCAAGGCUACGAACACGCGUCUAUCAUGUGAAGGAGUAGGCGACGUGGCCAACUUCGGACCGAGUAAACGAGUACGCUGGACGCACUCCGAUUUAUCAAACUUCAAAAAUUUGGAACUUUCGCAUACGAACUCCGUUUUUAACAUUCUUUAGAUCCAUACGUAGGUGAUACCAUGCUCUACAACUUUCGUUUAGACACCGUCGGCUAAUUUUAACAGGCCGGGACAUGAAAAGUCUGUUGAAAAUUCAUAACUUCUUCAUCCGACGUCCGUUUCUGUCUGUCUUUUUACCGUUAAACUACAAUCGACAAGAUCUUCGAUUCUCAUUUAAGUUAUGUCGGCUAAAAAUCGCUCAAUCUAUAAUUUGAGUUUCGGGCUGCAUACUAUUAUACAAAAUCUUAGAAAAUUCAUACCUUCCUCAUACGAAGUUAGAUUUUGACAUUCUUUUUGUGCACGCUCUCGGUUUAACGUAUUCUACGACAUUCAUUUAUAUUUCUAAGGCUAAAAAGCACUUUAUCGAAAACUCACUUUUUACGUCACACAACGUUGUGCCGGUUCUAUCGCAAAACUUCGAUAGGUUAUAACUUCUUCGUUAUAACUCGGAUUUCGAUAUUCUUUAUAUCUUCGGAAUCCUUGUUUCAACCACUACCACUUCCUUCAUAAAUAUCUAGUUUAUCUAACAUUUAUUUUCGAUGCUAUUUUUAUCCUUAAUUCAUUAAAUUAUAAUAAUUAAGUAUAAAACACAUAAUAGUCAAAUAAUACAUCUUAUUAUUUCAAAACAAAUUACAAAGGGUGACCUAGACUAUUACAUCAUCAUUAAUGCCUAGCCUAGAAGCACUGGCGUUACAGUAUGUCCCAAAGGCUUGACACACUAAGCAAAGGUGAGCAGGUGUGACUGAUGUGUCCCAGUGAGGUUAGGUCCAGGGAUCUGGUUUAGCUAAUGUGUCCUAAGGCCUCGAUGUACUGAGCAAGGUGGAUCGGGCUUAGCCGACGUGUUCCAACGGGUUUAUGUUUGUUUAUGAUUUGUUCUCUGACUUGCAUGUGGUUGUGUAGUUACUGUGGUUGAUGACUCAACAUUAGGGGUAUAUCUCGAAUGAGAUUAUACUAUGUAUUUGUCAAAUUUACUAAGAUUUGUUCUUAACCCUUUCCCGUUAAAGUUAAUUUUUUAGGAUCGACAUGUACUCAUGAUAGCAGGGCGUAUAGCGGUACACAAUUGGCUCACGUCGGAUGGAUAGAGUUUUCAUGACACUAGGGAAUUAUAUUUUCUUUGAUUUUUAGAAUUUAUGACUUUCAAAUGGCUUUAGGAAUUACUUUGAUCUUGUAGUUUGGUUUUGAAACUUUUCUUUAACACAAGUUUUGAUUUUGUUUAUAAUUGUGUUCAUUAAAAAAUAAAAAUUUAUUUUAAAAAUUGGGAUGUUACAAUUUUACAUCUGUUUGAUGUUUUGAAAACCUUUUAGGAGUUUGAAUUUGUGUUUCGAAUGUUGACAUUUUCCAAUACCCUUAAGAGUUGACUCCAAGAAUGUUUAGUAACAUUUUCAAGUGUAAUCUACAUAUUUUGACAUGUAUUCAUAUCGAAAGACUCAAUGAGGACCACAUUCAAAUAUAUCUUUUUGGAUAUUUGGACAAUAUUGUAAUUUAGAGUUAUGAAAGUUUUUCCUUUAUCUUUGUUUUUUAUUAGUUUGUUACCCACGGUAAGCCUUGAAAAUUUUUAAAUGUUAAGGGAUUGACUAUUUUUGACCAAUUUUAAUAAAAAAAAAUCGAAAGUGAAAAGAUUGUUGUUUUUCCAAAAUAUUAAAAGUUUUGUUUUCAAAGAACAUUUCAAAUAAAAACCCAUACAAAGGUGUUCUUAUAAAUAUCAUAAAUGAGUGACAAACUAUUUAAAAAGCCACAUAAGAGAGAAUCGAGAUGAGUAAAUUGAAAGUUUAAUCCUCUGGAAGAGGGAUUCGUCAAGAUGUGUCACGUAGAGUUAUCAUCUGAUGGACAAGCACAAUUAUCAUUCGAAAGGGAAUACUUGGACCUCCUUUAUCCGANNNNNNNNNNNNNNNNNNNNNNNNNNNNNNNNNNNNNNNNNNNNNNNNNNNNNNNNNNNNNNNNNNNNNNNNNNNNNNNNNNNNNNNNNNNNNNNNNNNNNNNNNNNNNNNNNNNNNNNNNNNNNNNNNNNNNNNNNNNNNNNNNNNNNNNNNNNNNNNNNNNNNNNNNNNNNNNNNNNNNNNNNNNNNNNNNNNNNNNNNNNNNNNNNNNNNNNNNNNNNNNNNNNNNNNNNNNNNNNNNNNNNNNNNNNNNNNNNNNNNNNNNNNNNNNNNNNNNNNNNNNNNNNNNNNNNNNNNNNNNNNNNNNNNNNNNNNNNNNNNNNNNNNNNNNNNNNNNNNNNNNNNNNNNNNNNNNNNNNNNNNNNNNNNNNNNNNNNNNNNNNNNNNNNNNNNNNNNNNNNNNNNNNNNNNNNNNNNNNNNNNNNNNNNNNNNNNNNNNNNNNNNNNNNNNNNNNNNNNNNNNNNNNNNNNNNNNNNNNNNNNNNNNNNNNNNNNNNNNNNNNNNNNNNNNNNNNNNNNNNNNNNNNNNNNNNNNNNNNNNNNNNNNNNNNNNNNNNNNNNNNNNNNNNNNNNNNNNNNNNNNNNNNNNNNNNNNNNNNNNNNNNNNNNNNNNNNNNNNNNNNNNNNNNNNNNNNNNNNNNNNNNNNNNNNNNNNNNNNNNNNNNNNNNNNNNNNNNNNNNNNNNNNNNNNNNNNNNNNNNNNNNNNNNNNNNNNNNNNNNNNNNNNNNNNNNNNNNNNNNNNNNNNNNNNNNNNNNNNNNNNNNNNNNNNNNNNNNNNNNNNNNNNNNNNNNNNNNNNNNNNNNNNNNNNNNNNNNNNNNNNNNNNNNNNNNNNNNNNNNNNNNNNNNNNNNNNNNNNNNNNNNNNNNNNNNNNNNNNNNNNNNNNNNNNNNNNNNNNNNNNNNNNNNNNNNNNNNNNNNNNNNNNNNNNNNNNNNNNNNNNNNNNNNNNNNNNNNNNNNNNNNNNNNNNNNNNNNNNNNNNNNNNNNNNNNNNNNNNNNNNNNNNNNNNNNNNNNNNNNNNNNNNNNNNNNNNNNNNNNNNNNNNNNNNNNNNNNNNNNNNNNNNNNNNNNNNNNNNNNNNNNNNNNNNNNNNNNNNNNNNNNNNNNNNNNNNNNNNNNNNNNNNNNNNNNNNNNNNNNNNNNUAUAUAGAGAGAGAGAGAGAGAGAGAGAGAGAAAGAGAGAGAGAGAGGUGGGUUCAAUUGAGAAAAUAAAAAGGUUGAGAAUGGGGGAAUCAUUCUCAGCCACUCAUUUAAUCUACGCCUAAAAAGACACGAUGACAAACUUGUAAAUAUGAUAACAACCUUCAAUCUCAAAUACGUAUCUGUAGAGAAUUAGAUUACAGUUCAAACUCAUUCAUCGUUCAUCAUCCAAAUUUCUUCUCCAACCUUCAACAAUCAUCCAGAUUUCUUCAAUUCAGCUUGAAUACGAUCAGAUCUUCAACAUCUACGAUUAAUUAUACUCCCAGCAUCAUUAGAUCAACAUCAUCAAUAAUCAACAAAAAAUCCACUUCAUAUCAUUCAUUCAACAUCGAUUAUCAAAUAAAACUUAAAAAUUGAGGUUAGAAAAAGAUCAAAUCGUUUUUAUUUUUGAAAAAUUUCAUAUAAUUCUCUAUCAAUCUACUAUUUUGUAAGAUUUAAAUAGUCAAAGUAUCAUGUUUUUAACAUUUUUAAAAAAGAUAAAUUGUAUGCACUCCAACUGUUUGAUGAAAUGCAUAAACUAAAUUAUCACGUUAUAUUCAUAUAUGAAUAUGUUUAGUGUUCUAAAACUCACCGAGUUGGCCGAUUACUCCUCCGAGUACUCGCUACUCCCCCCUUGCUAAGGCGACUUACAUAAUCCCGAGUACUCCCUGAUCGGCCCCUUACGAACUGAGUAGUGUUGUGAAAUUCGGUCAACUCGGUGAUAAUAUACUUAAUGAUUCAUUAUUUAACACACACAUGUGAUUAUUACUACAUAUAAAUCUUAAAUUUUCAGUAAUUAUUCACGAAGUGAGACCAUUAUGUGUUUUUCAUUUUUUGUGUAUUAUUAUGUAUCCAAUUUUGUUAUAUAUUUCAAUCAACUUAUGAUUUUGACAUAUAUAAUUUCCCUAAAAAUAUUUCUACACAAAAUUUAAAAUCCGAGUACUCCCCGAGUACCCGAGUACUCGCUACUCGGUAGUCGGCCGAACAGUUACCGACUAACGAGUUCCACAACCUUGAAUAUGUUUUCUCACCUGAAUCAGUAUAUGAUUAUCAAAACAAAAAAAACAAAUAUGCAAGUCUGUAUGUUAUUCAUAUGUGAAUAAAAUAUAAAAAUUAUAUAUAUUUGUGAAAAUACCUUGUAAUAUUCAUAUAUGAAUAUACUGUGUAAUAUUCAUAAGUGAAUAUAUCAUAUAGUAUUCACAAGUGAAUAUAUUAUGUAAUAUUCACAUGUGAUAUACCAUGUAAUACUAUGUAAUAUUCAUAUAUGAAAAUAUUAUCUAAUAAUCAUAAGUGAAUGUAUCAUCUAAUAUUCACAAGUGAAUAAACUAUGUAAUAUUCACAAGUGAAUGCAUAGUCUAAUAUUUAAAUAUGAAUAUACUAUGUUUAUUAUAUGCUAUAUUCAUAUAGGAAUGAUACUUAAAUUGUAAAAAAAAAAAUUAAUCAUAUUUUUUAUUCAUAAGUGAAUAACGAAUGUACUGUAGAAAAAUCUGGUUCAUUUUUAUUCACUUAUAAAUAACGAUAACUGAAAAUAUAAAAAAAAAAUUAUUUUAUCUUAAAACUAUAUCAAUAUGGAUGUCUAUUUGUAGAGAAUAAAAAAUCAUGAAUUUUGGAAUAUUUAAAAUCAUUUUUCGAUAAAAAUAGCUUGUUAAAAAUNNNNNNNNNNNNNNNNNNNNNNNNNNNNNNNNNNNNNNNNNNNNNNNNNNNNNNNNNNNNNNNNNNNNNNNNNNNNNNNNNNNNNNNNNNNNNNNNNNNNNNNNNNNNNNNNNNNNNNNNNNNNNNNNNNNNNNNNNNNNNNNNNNNNNNNNNNNNNNNNNNNNNNNNNNNNNNNNNNNNNNNNNNNNNNNNNNNNNNNNNNNNNNNNNNNNNNNNNNNNNNNNNNNNNUAUAUAUAUAUAAAAAUAUCCACUCUGUGUGUACGGUUCACGCCGGCACCUUCCCACGGUCCUCGCUAGUACCUGAAACACAUAACACAACAACUGUAAGCAUAAAUGUUUAGUGAGUUCUCCAAAAUACCACAUACAACACAUACGCCACUCGAGGCUAUAGCACGAACCUCCGGUCGUUGUGUCACAGCGGGACCCUCUAGUCCUGUAGCUCAUUGUAUCCUCUGGUCCGGUCAUAGCUCGUUGGGCCCUCUGGCCUAGUCUGUAAUGUUGGACCCUCCGGUCCGGUCUGUAUCGUUGGACCCUCCGAUCCGUUCUAUAAAAUCAUACAACAUACAUAUAUCACAUAGCAAAUAAUCUCAUACUUAGCACAUAAGACCCUCUGGUCAACACAUAAUACCACUCUAGGUAACGUAUAGUGAGAAAACUCACCUCGGAUGUCUCAGUAAAUCUCUAACUCGGUAGAAAUAGGGUCUAGCCUCCGCCUAAUCACAUAAAGGAAAUACUCUCAUAAAUAUAAUCCUCGAGACUAGACUCAACCCUCUCUUAGCACCCUUAGAAGGGUAAAAGACCAUUUUACCCCUCUCUUGACACAAAGGCCCCAUUGUUGACAAAACCCUAAAAGUCAACAAAAGUCAACGGUUAAAAUUUGACCCGACUCGUCGAGUUCAUACGAGUGACUCGGCGAGUCCAUGUGAGUUCUCUGAAACCUUUUAAACAUCUCAUACACGACGAGUUCCCUCUUCACUCGUCGAGUUACUCGGCAACGAAUCGCGAGGCAACCCCGACUCGACUCGUCGAGUCUACUUAUAGACUCGGCGAGUUGCUCCCAUGACAACAUUCAUCUGAACAUCUGAGGUCAGAUCUGCUCCUCCAAUCCAUAGAUCUAGCUUCCCUAUAGCCCAUAAUCUCAUAAAAGUUGAAUCUUGGGCCCUCAUGCAAGGUCCACUAUGCUCAUUUGAGUGAAAUCCCUCAUUUCAUGACAACUCUAGCUCAUUACCCCAAGGGGAAGGCAUAAAGCCGAUUGGAAGGGAUCCUCUGGACCUCUUACGGUCCAGAUCUAUGAAUCAUUUCACCAUGCGACCUCUCUUACUCUAGAUCCAAGCUAAAUAAAGCAUAAAGAAACCUUAAAUUGAACCAUAACAACAAAAUACAAGAAUAGACUCGAGUUUAUACCUCAAAGAUGAUGAUUCAAGCUGAAAGCUCUCUGGAAUGAAGUCCUCUUGCCCCCUUUUUGCUGGAAACCCUUUCCUCCUUAGCUAAAUCACACCACAAAUGAGCAAGGAGCUCUAAUUCUCUCACAACGCGCUUAAGAUCGAAAGGGAUACUCUCUUUGGACAGAUAGCCGCAAAUGGAGGCUAUAAAGCCCUUUAAAUAGGGCUCAGACACUGAGAAGUAGGGCUUCAUAAAACAACGCGGACUCGCCGAAUCCACUAGUCGACUCGCCGAGUCCGGUCAUUAACUCAGAUGGAGAAUCGCGACUCUACUCGGCGAGUCUAAGUGUCAACUCGUCGAGUCCCUCUUAAAAUCUCCAAAAUAAAUAAAUAAAUAAUGUACCUGGAAAUCCGGAUGUUACAGUAUAUAAAUAUAUAUAUANNNNNNNNNNNNNNNNNNNNNNNNNNNNNNNNNNNNNNNNNNNNNNNNNNNNNNNNNNNNNNNNNNNNUAUAUAUAUAUGGAAAAGUGAAUAUUUAGCUGUCAUGUAUUUAAUAUUAGGUAUAGAACCAUGAAAAUUGACUUCAUUUUGAUUAAAAAAAACAUAAUUUUUUUCAUUGUUAGUUUAUUCCUAUUGCUUUUGAGUUCAUAUUAUUUCUUAUUUAAUAAUUUAUCCUCAACAUCUAUGUAUUUUGAAUGUGUUGUUUAUAUUAUUAGAACUCUAGAAGGCUACAUAACUUUCUUUGACACCUACCAUAUAUACACUUGCAUGGUUCUUUUUGAUGUAUUAUGGAAAGAAGUUUAUUGGGUUUUUAAUGAAAAUUUUCAAUCUUUCACUAUAGUUUUCUAUAUUAAAUUUGAAUAUUAAGGCUUAUAUGUAGUUGAUAAUGUAUUGUUAUACAUGGUUUGUGGUGCAAAAUUAAAUAUUUAAAACUCCAUAAAAAUAUGUACAAAUCAUAUCAUCUAGUCUAAUAGAGGAUACANAUAUAUAUAUAUAGGUUCCUUUGAUAUUAAUAAAAAAUUAGAGAUUGUAAAAUAGGUGGAUAGCCUUUUGAUGUUAUGAUCUUUAAUUGUAAAAUCUGGUGGUAGGGUAAUUGUAAAUACAUAGGUAACUAUUCAAAUUAAUGUCGUUAGUAACUAUUGUAUGACUAGUAUUGUAAUUUUAGAAGGAAUCAUAUCAGGUGUGCGUAGAUGAUACAAUACUAUAACCGUAUAUACUUUUUUUUUUCCUUUCUCGAUCAAAAUCUCACUAAAAAACUCUCACGAAAACCCUUUUUUUCUUUCUUUAUCGCAUUUUGCCUUAGUUUUCGUUUGUUAGUUGUGCAAAUUAAAUUUGAAAAAUCAGUAAAUUUUUUAGGAGAAAAUCUAAACGAGGUCACAUCUUCGUUAAUCGAAAUGAAAGGUUAGAAUGCGAGUAAUUUUUCAUUUUAUUGAUAAUGCAUGUUUGUUUUAAUUAGUUAACUAUAGUUUUAUAUAUAAAAUAAGAAAAAGUUAUUAGGUUAUAGUUAAUUGUAUGAAUUAAAAAGGAAUGGAAAUGUUAUAUAAUGGAUAUAAGAUUUAUAUUUCAAGAAUGAAUUAACAUUAAAUAUAUAGUAGAAAUAUAUAAUUAGUAAAGAAAUAACAAAUAUUUAAACUAAAACAAAAUUAAGAUGGUCAAAUGAAAUAUGAUUAAAAAACCAGGGGUUGGAUGUAUUCAAAAUAAAAAUAUAUUGACCAUUAAGGAUAUAUUCACUAAGUAUAUAUAUUAAAUGAUCAACAAAUAUAAACAAAUAAGAUAUGUGUUCCAAUAAUUUUAAAUAGUCAAUAAAAUUAAAGCAAAUAAAAUAAGCUAUAAAAAGAAUUUCAUUGCAAAUACUCUAAAAAAAGAGUUAUUUACAAAUUUUUAUAAGUAUUGUUAUUUAUUAAAAAUAUAUAUUUACGAAACAAACAAUAACGAUAUAAAAAAACAAAAGUAAUAAUUAUUUUAUUUGUCAUUACUAUCUAAUUUCAAACAAAAUUUACAAACCGUAUAAAAUUUUGACACAUUCCAUUUUUAUCAGUGGAGUUUAUGCAAAUUAAAAAUUCUUGAUAUUCCAUAUUUAUUUUAAAAUAAAUGAUCUCAAUUGCUCUGAAAUCAUCUUAAUUAUGAAUACUUAAAGUCCUUUUGUCUUGUAAAAUGAUCCAUCCUUACAAAUUUAUUUUACGAAAAACUUAUAACCUAUACGAAAUUCAUGUCAUUUUCAAUAAAAUUAUAAAAUAAAGUUAUUAUUUGAAUAAUAUAAUGGAAUGCCAACCAAUCAAGGGAAGCUAGUGGUAAGCAAUUGACGAUUUCCAUCUAUAAAUACCCUACGCACUUCGCAUAUCUUCACACAAAACAAAUUGGGUUACAACACUUUCUACUUGUAAGAAACCAAAGCAUUUAAAAAUGGCUUCAAGAGCUUUGGCAACAACAGCUUUUCUCCUUACCUUCAAUCUUCUUUUUUUCACUUUGGUAACAUCCACUCAUACCCCAAAAGGCUGCCCACCACCGCCACCAUCGUCGUGCCCACCGUCACCGAAACCUCCAACACCUUCACCGAAACCUCCAACUCCUUUACUCCCUCCCAAAGCAAGUUGCCCAAAAGACACUCUCAAAUUGGGUGUUUGUGCUAAAUUGCUCAAUGACCUUGUCCACCUGGUCGUCGGAACCCCACCAAAGACACCAUGUUGUACCCUAAUCCAAGGCCUCGCCGAUCUUGAGGCUGCAGUAUGUCUUUGCACUGCAAUUAAAGCUAAUGUCUUGGGAAUCCACCUCAAUGUUCCGGUCUCUUUGAGCCUGUUGCUUAACUAUUGUGGAAAGAAAGUUCCCUCCGGCUUCCAAUGCGCAUAGAUAUGCAUCUUUUCAAUUUAUGGAAGUUUAAUACUAUAGUGUGUUGUAUUUAAUUUGGAAGACGGUUGAUUAUGAUCGAUAUGAUGUAAAGAAUCAUAUGACAUGUGAUUCAACAAUAAAUUUUUCCCUACUAUUAUGUAAUGUUAAUGAUUUUUAUAGAAUCUUAAAUCCUAUAAACUUGUAACUUAAAAAUAAAAGUAAUCGCGUACUGUGAUUUCAAAAUAAAAAAAAUAAUAAAAAAAAACUAAAAUUUUUGUGAAAUGUGCACAUAUAUGUCGCCCUCGGGGGAUGGUGCCAACCGGUGGUUCGUGUUUAGUGUACGGUUCAUAAAUGCCUCAUGGUGGUGGACUAUUCAGUGAUAGGUUGAAAUCCUCAAGACCGGUACUCGUGUACUGCUGAAUAACUAGUACUGACACCAUUGUUGCAAAAUCUAACGAUCCUAAGAAGUCACUUACUGCUCCUAAUUAUGGGCAUUUACUCCGUUCAGUUAACCUGAAGGUCAAAGUCAAAAAUGUCCCUUGACCCGUCCUGAAAAUAAAGAAAUCAUGAAUGUUACCGACUGGUCGUAUCGCCCCCAUUGUUUCCUCGUUGUUGGACGCUAUUGUUUUUGUGUACACAACCCGAUUCUUCAUUUUCAAUUAAUGCUCUAUCUGGUGUAUAAACUAAUCGUUGAUGUGUCAAACAUACUUCAGGCUGAUCAUCAUCAACAUCUGGUACACUAUCAUGCACUUAGCUAGCGUCAACAUGCGUUUCUUGUGCACAAAAGAGUCAGAUGUGCAAUCUUAGAGAUAGUUUCAUUUUAUUGACUUCUUUUUAUAAUUUAUUUUUAAAUAUUUUAUUUUAUUUUUAGUUAAUCUUCAUGCAUAUUUUCCUUUCAUUAUUUUAUAUUUAUAUCAGAUACUUUUUAGUUUUGAGAUUUAUUGCAAAUAUUUAGAGGAAUUGAGCAGAGCGUAGAGGGUGUGACAUCCCCAAUUUUUAUGAUGAGAAAUUACCAAUUUGUUUAUAAAUAUUUAAAAAUCAGAGUAUCAUUUUUGAAGAAUAAUAUUGCGGAAUUUGUUCCCAGAAAACAUGAUAAUGAUAUUAUCAAAUCAUUUUUGAAGAAAUGUAUUUUAUUUAUAUUAAAACAUUGAGAUGUCAUCGUCAAUACAAAAUCAUAAACAUAACGAAUUAUUACAAGCCUUACAGUAAUUAAACUAGUGACCUAAUACUCCUUGAAUCUCUCAGCAGAAUGUAUCUUUCAAAUAGCAACUUGUUAUACAAUAAAAUGAGUAGGUCAGGUUGGGAAACCUGAUGAGUACAUAGGGAUUUCAAUCCCACAACGUGAUAAUAAUGUAUAUCUUAAACCUGCAACACCAACUAUUAUCAAUAACACUGAUAUAUCAUAACUCUAAAAGAAUUUAUCCCAUCCCAUCAAUUCCUAUUUACUGAUCCUAUACAAUGAUCUUACAAGAUCUAGCCUAAAGUAUUAAUAUGAACAACGAACUAACAACGCUGCUUUAGAAAUUCCCUGGCAGCAAACUAGGAUCAAUAUAUACAUCAAAUGAGGGGAAUGAAAUAAGUUUCACUAUGAACAUCCGUUUGUAAAAACAAUAAGACAAUUAAGUCAGAGGUGGAUAUCUAGAUAAUUGUGCCUAGCAGUGGUCUGCCACCGUCAGGUAUUUUACCCCCAAAAUCACCCUAUCCGGCAAUAUAACGUCAUACGUACCUAGUAGUGGUCUAUUACUGACAAACUCUAUUAAGCAGACUAUGAAGUUCCCUCAAUUACUUCGUGAAAGGAAACGCUGACACACAAAGCUCAUCAAAAGAAAAAGUAUGGGGAAAUACUAAUAAAGUACUCACGUACGUUGCCGUACUCCGACAGAUAAUAGUGUCAAAAAGGACUUUGUACAUAAUAGUACUUUUGGCACAUUAUAGUACCCUAGUAUGAGUAGGACUCGUACCCCAGAACAUAAUAAUACCCCGACACAAGCAGCACCUGAGAUAUAGAGCUUUGAAAAAGACUUGGUGCAUAGAAAGUACUUUUGUACUUUGGAAAUACUCCAUCAGUCAUCAAUCUCCUCGAACAUAGUUUCUACUCUCUAUUGCGAUCACACACGUACCAUUAGUAAUAUGCUACUUAAUAUCCAAACUUAAUUGAACUAAGCAUCUCUUUUAAGUCUUAUUUUAUCACUAGGCAAACCUACAAUGCUUAUAAUCAUCAUUCAAUACCAACCCUGUUUCAGCAACACUAUCCUAAUUUAGUGUUAUAUUUUAUACAGAGUAUCAAGUAUUAACAUACAUUUAUCUUCUCAUUUAUAAUACUUCUAUUAUUAUUAUCAUGUAAACAAAUCUCAGCAUAUGUAGAACCAUGUCUAGUUCACAUAGCAUAUAUCAUCAAAUAUACAUAAAACACAUAUUUCCAGAUAAUAACUAUAUAACUCACAUAUAAACUUUCAACAUAUAUUUAAUACUUUAAUACUUGUAUUAAAAUCAUAUUCAUGAAAGUGACUAUGCACUCACUUGUUAAAGUGACGAUUCGAAAUUCGGGCAACGCUUCGCUUCUACCAAAUUUCUUUUCCUUUGACGAAACCUAGUAUCAUUAUCACUAAGUUUUAGUCUAAUAUUUACUGCAACUAAUUAUUAUUCUUGAUUCAUCGUUAACUCAAAGUCUACUUCGAGAUCUAUCAAGUAUGGAACAACUAGGUAGGAUCAUAUUGGUGGUAUGGUCCGUUUGGUAUAAGAUGUAUACUAUUUGGAAAUCUCACUUUAAACACCUCAAUAAAUCCAACCUACACAUCAUCCCCGUAAGUAGAUCUGAUGGGAUUAAAACAACUUUUAAUCUAUGAAGAUCGAUUAGAUCUUGAACAAGUAUAUGAAUAUGAAACAGUAAAAACGCAAUAAUAAGAACAAACAGCUUGAAUCAAACGUGUCGAAUGAUUAAAUAAAAUCCUUAGAAGAGCUCGAUUAAGAACAUCAACUGUAAAGGAUUAGAAGAUUACAAGAACGAUUACAGAAAAAUAAAGUACUCUUGAUCAAUCGCUAUUUCGAUAAUCUCUCGAAUCUUAACCUAAUAUGCAUGCAAGCAUUUAACUUAUAUACAAUACAUAAAAGGCUCUCGGUUGGACAGGCCCAAACCGGAGAAUACAAGGCUAAUCAACGAGCCCAAAAGACGCAACAUCAAAACUAUCUACAGCCCAACAAUCUCCCCCUUUGCGUCAAUUUGGAGCGAGACCUUCACUUCUUACUUGGGCCGGCAGCUGAAGCUGGUACCUUCUUCUUCACGGUGUUAAACAGACACUUGGUUAUGGAGAGGAUGGUCUGUCUAAACCGGAUGUACCAAUUGAUCAUAUCAUUGAAGUACUUGAUGUCAUCAGCCGAAUUGUCUUUACACCGCUUGAUGAUUGAUAAGACGUGCUCCAAGCAAGUUGUGGUGUAAAGAUGUUUGUCAGCUAAAGCGAAGAGACAUUUCUGUCCUUCGGCUCUAGUGAACAUCACAGAGUUUCGCCUCGGAUCUAUCUUGCCCAUUUGCAUUUGAUUUAGAUCACUGGCCGAUCCCACAGGUGCGACUUUCGGUUUCUUCUUAAAAACUGUGGCGACCUCCUGAUCCAUUAGGGCAACCUCCAUGAUAUAGCAUGCCAGCAUCCUUUUGACAUGGUCUAUGAUGGGACCAUAUUCAGAUUCAUUUGUCAGCAGGAUAUUGUACAAGACUAUCCAAUCAUGAGGAUUCAGAUUGGGCAGAUCCGCCAGGGAGAUGAUGUGGGCAGUUCUUGCAGAUCCUCGGAUGAGCUUGAACUUAACGUUUGUGAAUCUCCCCACGGCAUAAGGCUUCAGCACCCGAACAUUAACAAUCUUCUGGGCGCUCCAUGUAAGGUAUUGAGGGCGAGCGGCCUCCAGGUAGAAGUCAAUGAGCUCCCUGUCAAGCUCAUCGUUCGGAUGCGGGACUUCAAAAAUGUUAGAGAAGGCGUGGAAGAUGAACGCCUUUCGAGUCAGCGGCAUAUCAAACUGCGAAUCGAUAGAGUUGUUGCAGUCGAAUGAUAUCACCGGCUCGAGCCAUAGUAUGCUUGGAGUCUCUAUGGCCUCUUUUAUCAUACGAUCCCUGGUCCAGGCAGGGAAGAGCAACUUUCGGCUCUCAAGGAGAUCGUGGGCUUCUUUUUGCUUUCGUUCGGCUUCUUCAGCCUCACGCGCCACACGACUGGCAUCGUCUUCAGCAUUGCGACUGUUCUUUCUUUUUAACAUGUCCGCAAUGGUCUCCUUGUCUUCAUCUUCAUCUUCAUCUCCUCCCUCAGCUAUGUUUUUGCCCUUGUUCUUCACACCCGAACCCGAGGCAUGACCAGUUGGGGGUGGUUCGGUUGUGUGAGUAGCUUUGGAGGAAGGAGGUGGUUUCGAUCCUUUCUUCUCAUCUCCCCCUUGUUUCGGAAUGGACACGAAACUCGGUAGGCCUUCAAUUUUGCUUAAAAGGUCCAUGGCCGGAGAGAGUUUUUCAGCGAGGGUACGCCUCACUGAGUGGUUAAGGAUGGGGUCGUGUGCUUCCAGGAUGUUUGAUAGAGCUGCGUGGACAUCCGAAACACACGUCUUUAUGACCUCCCUCUCGGAUCGAAGAGCUUCCAAUUGUUGCUGGGAGUUGGAAAGCUGCGUGCUCUUGACCUUAAGGGCGGUAGUCUUAUUCGCCAAGACGUCCAUCAGAGAAUUUUCUGCCGCAAGAUCCUCUUGUAGCUUUGCCAGGCGGGCAUCGAUGGAGGCACGAAGUGCCGAGUUGUCGUCGCUAAGAUGUUGUCUGAGAGUAGCGAACGAAGACAGCUCCGUCGAGACAAACUUGGCCAAUUGUUGAACAACUGGUUCCAGAGUUGUCUUAGUGGCUUCGGCGCUCUCCUGCAAAGACUGCAGCAGGACAGAAGCGUCAUUGAAUAGUUUAUCGACUUUUUCGGUCGCUGCCUCACAGGCUCGGGUGGAGGCGUCGAUAGCAGCAGUUGCUGAGGCCACGGAAUCAUGUUGAGCCCUGGAGAAGGCGUCAACGAUCUUCUGAAGGGCAGCUUCAGACAAAGAUGACUGCUGGUUGGAAGAGGAGGCGAGAAGUUGAUCAACCUUCUCGUUAAGCUCGCGAAGAUGCUUCCGUGUCACUGGAGCAUCAUCCUCCUCAUCACUCUGAACUUGAAACGGACUAUAGUAGACCGAAUCGAAGUUCAUGUGAUCACCACCAAGGUAUUGAUCACCGCCAUCGGAGGCGUCUUCUGGAGAUUGAGGUGGUGGUGAAGCUGGGGGUGUUAUUGGUUUGGUUGGUUCAGGUUGAGUGGGUGGGGGGUUAGUUUCGGGUGGUGGUUGUGUAUGGGUUUCGGUUUGUGGAGGUUCGGUUACAGGAGGGGUUUCGGUUACAGGUGGUGUUUCGGUUGAUGUGGUGAAUAUGGGUGGAGGUAUAGGGAAUGAGGUUGGGGGAAUAGUGGGGUUUAUGGUGGGAAUGGAAAUAGGAAUUGUGGGUGGAGGUGAAGGAACUGGGGAUUGAUGAAGUUCCAUCUCUGGGGUUGGGGACCGAGGUGGUGUGUUGCCUCGUUGAGGAGAUUCGUCUCCUUGUGAUCCCUCAGAGUCCGAACUCCCACCUUCGGAUUCGCUUGAAGAGGAGGGAAUGACGAGCUUUCGCUUCUGUUGGGUCUUCCUCCUUUUCGGUUGUGGGGAUGAAGCAGCCUUCGGUUGUUUUCGCUUCUUGGGUGAAGGUCCCUUUGGAGCCUUGGACACUUGCUUUCCCUUCUCUGACUUUUUACCCCUGACUACCGGUUUGUCGGCAUCAUGAAUCGAGCGCAGCAUGUCCGGUGUCAGUUCCCUCGGACCAGAUGGCCCUAACUCCUUGAUCGCCUUGAUCAUACUGCUGUCUGAAGGCACACUUCCAUACAUAGUCUCCGGGAUGGAGCCAAUGAAGGAGAAUUUUGAUGCAUCCGAGACGAUGAUCUUCUUGGUAUGGAACGUACCAAUAGAAGACAUCGNGCUGUUGGAACGUCGAACUUGUCCAUGGCCCAUCUUGUGAUCAAGAUCCAGAACCAGGCCAGCGACACCUCGGAGUGUCGGGAAGAGGAAGAGAGGCUCUGAAUCAACUGUUGCCAAAGGACAAACCCAUAGUCUAUGUUUAUCCCAUUGUACACUCCGUACAUUAUCGAGAGGAAAAGACGACUUGCACCGUCAGAUCCUGAGCUCCUCUCUGACAGUCCCUUGAAGAGAACUAUAAAUAACCCAUUCCACUGGGGCGGUAGGCAGGACUUCUUAAACCUGGCGACGGAGGUGAGAACCUCUGUGUAGCCCAUGUUGUAGAACAUGCUGUACAACAUCCCAACCGGAAUCGUCUCCGGGUGAACUCGCGAUGAGUCAGCGGCAAACCCUAACAAAGUGCAGAAAUGUGGGCGAGAAAUUGAAGUUUUGUGUUCUGCUACUUCAAAGAAUACCCGGUCGACGACCUUGUCGUAGUAAGCCGUCGCAUAGACCUGAGAUAAGGCCACCAUCGGCACCGUUUCAAUUCUCGACAGUGCAGGAGCAAGCUGGGAGUACUUGAGGCAUUCUAUGACCGGCGACAUGUAGGGAUUAUACGCCACUGGGUUCAGAUCGAUGACUAGGCAUUGUUGGGGUCGGAUGGGAAGAAUUUGGGAAGUUGCAUGAACAGAUGAAGAUUCAGCCAUUGUUGCAGGUUUGGAGAAGAAGAAGAACGGGAGAGUGUUUGGGAGUAUUUUUCCUUUGGGAAUUAUGGGGGCAGUAAAGAGGUAAAAGGUGUUGUUGAUGGCUUUUUAUAGUUGGUGAGGAGAGAGAAAAAUCGUUUCAAAUCUCUUAUGGAAAUAUGAAACGGGUUUUUGAGUGACUGAUUGGUGACAGUUGGGGCGUGCGAUGAUCACGUAGGAGAGAGAGUGUCAGAUUCCUAGGAUUACGCCGCCCAAUAAGCGCCGGUUCAGAGAAAGGAACCGUUUCCAUUUCCACACGCGCCUCUUUUGCCAGAUUGAUGACGCUUCAUUAUCGCACACGCGUCCUUUAAGUGUCAGAAAAAGCGCGGUCGUUUCAAAUUCACGCGCCCUCCUUUUUACCGUCGUUUGAAUUUCUAUCCAUUUAACUCCCGCCGAGUCAACAACUUUUUGUCUUUUCCCCUUUUAAACGGGUGUUUUCAAUUAUUGACCCACGUGGCUAAUUUUUUGACCACAACUUCAAUAGUAACCCUUCAGUAAUAAUCCAGCCUGUAAAAUAAUUAGUAACGGAAUUUUUGAAAAUCUAGGAUUUUCGUGCAAAGAGUGUAAAAGAAAAAGAAAUAAAGCAACUCUUUUUAGGAUAAUCUGUGAUGUCCAUAAAGACACGAAACUGAUGAUCCCGGGCACGAAUCUCUUCCUUCAAGGUCAAGAAAGACCUCAAAGUGUUAGUGUGGAAUCCCGUUGAAUUACGAUCAAACACUUAUUAAUAAAUGUUGAAAGGCUUCUUUUAAUUAGGCUAAUUAAGGGUGGUUUCGCUUUGAUGCAUCAAUUCAAUUCUUGAUAUAAGAACGAAAGAGAACAAAGUACUUGUGAGACCGGUGUAGUCUGUUGAACAAGUAGGUAGGAGUUGAUUUUAUAGUGGCUUGGAUUAAUAUGAAAUCUCAGAUAAAAAAUGUAAAACUGGAUCCCUUGGGAAGAAAUGUUAUGGUGUGUAACAAUUUCAUUGGAAUCACGCAAAAGAAAAUUUGAGAUUCCAUGAAGGUACAUUCGUCAAUUCAUUGGUGAAAACUUGAUCAAAUUAAUUGGUCACCGUCAAUUCGUUGGUGUUGAAUUUUGGGUUUCACUCAGCUCGUAGUGGCACGAAACUAAGAUCAUAAACACAGAUGUUGUGUAACCAUAAACCUCAGUGGUAGUUUCUGAGAGUCUCAAGGGUUACAAUGAUGAAACGAAUGUAAUGGAGAAGUGUAAUGGGGAUGGUGAAAGAAAACAUAGUACCUCUGCUGCGAAAAUAAGGACCAAGCAGGAGACUCUUAACUCAUGUGAGAAGAGAGUGAGGUAGCUCACGAUUAGAAUAAAUGAGUUAGCCUUAUUGGGAAGACAAGGUUUGUGUAUACCAGGUCAUGAAGGCUAUUAUUCAAAAUCUUAUGAGGCUUGGGACACAUACAGCAGCAUGCUUCUAGGGACACUUAAGUAAUUUAUCAAAUAUAUCCCCAUGAACGAACGAGCACACAAAGAAAAAUUAAAUAAAGUAUUUUUUUGGAGUAUUUGAAAUUUAUAAUAAAAGAAAAAAAAUUGUAGAAAAAAAAAAUAAGAGUUAAAAUAAAAUAAAGACUUAAAAAAAACUCUGGAAAACCGAAUCCGAACCUUCGGUUAGUUUCGGUUCAAGAAAUUUUGGAAAACCGAACCCGAACCUUCGGUUGGUUUCGGUUCCGCAAAAUGUUGAAAAACCAAACCCGAACCUUCGUUUGGUUUCGGUUCCACAAAAUUUUGAAAAACCGAACCCGAACCUUCGGUAGGUUUCGGUUUUGGAAAAUUUUGAGAAACUAAGAAUUUUAGAUAUACAAGUAAUAAAUACUGUUAACAUAAAGAAAAACAAGAUAGUACAUGUAAUAUACAACUCAGAAAAACUACCUUUGAAGUAAUGAGCGAGUUAGAUGGUUGAACCGAACCCGAACGUUCGGUUGGUUUCGCUUCUUACGUCUGAGGUUGAGAGGUAGUGUGAGGUACUGACUCAGAUUCCAUCAUUCCUAGCCCUUGCAAUAUUUUAUUGAAUGAAGCUUCUGGAAGAGCUUUGGUAAAGACGUCAGCCAGUUGAUCAGUGGUUCUUACGAAGUGAACUUCGACAUUUCCAUCUUCCACAUGAUCUUUGAUGAAGUGAUACCUCAGUGCUAUGUGUUUGGUUUUAGAGUGUUGCACUGGGUUAUGACAGAUCCUAAUUGCACUUUCAGAGUCACAAUAUAGUGGGAUCUUCUUCAUAUUGAGUCCAUAGUCUCGAAGUUGACUCUGGAUCCAAAUCACUUGUGAUGUGCAGGAUGCAACAGUAAUGUAUUCCGCUUCGGCAGUAGACAGCGACACACAUGUUUGUUUCUUGGAUUGCCAGCUGACCAACUUCCCAUCAAGAAAUUGACAGCCACCAGUUGUGCUUUUGCGGUCGAGUCCACAUCCUCCAAGGUCAGCAUCAGAAUAGGCUUGAACGAAGAAGCCAGAGUUGGAUGGAUACCAUAGACCUAAGGAGGCGGUUCGCUUGAGAUAGCGUAGGAUGUUCUUCACUGCCAGCAUGUGAGGUUCGCGUGGGUUAGCCUGAAAUCGAGCACAAUAACAUACAGAAAACAUGAUAUCAGGCCUGCUAGCAGUUAGAUACAUCAGUGAGCCUAUCAUUUGACGAUAGAGCGUGAUGUCGACAGCCGGUUUAUCUAGUGAAGGGGUAAGUUUGGUGCCGAAUGCCAUUGGGACUUUGACUUUUGAGUCUCCCAUCAUGCCAAACUUUGCUAGGAGAGUCUUCGUGUAAGCUUCCUGAUUGAUAAAGAUGCCUUCGGGUCCCUGUCUUAUAUUUAAACCAAGGAAAAAAUUAAUAGGACCCAUUGAGCUCAUUUCAAACUUAGUCUCCAUCAACUUUCUGAAUUCAGCUGUUAAGCUGGGAUUCGUAGAGCCAAAGAUGAUGUCAUCGACAUAAAUUUGAACUAUCAUAAGGUGGUUACCUUCCUUUUUGCGAAAGAAGGUUGGGUCAACCGAACCUUGUUUGAAUUUGGACAUCUUUAAAAAUUUUGUAAGCGUUUCAUACCAGGCUCUCGGAGCUUGUUUGAGGCCGUACACAGCUUUAUCCAGAAUGUAGCAAUGAUUUGGAUACUUUUCGUUCACGAACCCAGGAGGUUGCUCCACAUACACCGUUUCUUCAAGUUCUCCAUUGAGAAAUGCGCACUUGACGUCCAUUUGGAAGACCUCAAAGUUUUUGUGAGCAGCAUAGGCCAGAAAUAUUCUAACCGAUUCUAGCCUAGCUACUGGAGCGAACGUCUCUUCGUAAUCUAUCCCUUCCUCCUGACAGUAUCCUUUGACAACCAGACGAGCCUUGUUCCUUAUGACAUUACCUUCCUUGUCCAUUUUGUUUCUAAAAACCCAUUUGAGACCAACAACUGAAGCAUCCGGAGGAGUUGGAAUGAGGCGCCAGACUUUGUUCCUUUCAAACUCGUUUAGUUCGUCUUGCAUUGCUUGAACCCAAUCAGAGUGAUCGAGGGCAGUGUUCACUGUCUUCGGUUCGACUUUUGAUACAAAUGAGUUAAACAUACAAAACUCAACUUUUGAGAAUAAGGAUGUCUGUUUUGCCUUCAGUUGAGAUCGGGUCAGAACCUUUUCAGAUACAUCACCAACUACUUGAGAGAUAGGAUGAUCUCUGGUCCAUUUUGUAAGAGGAGGGUAAUUCGGAUCAAAGGAUGGAUCUAGUUCAGCGUUGAUCAUCUCUUCAGGCUCAGAUUGGCUAUCAAAAUCAAGCGUCAUAUCAUCAUGCUCCCCCUCAAUUGAUGAGUCUUGACAAACAUGAGGUUCAGGGGUUUCUUGUGGUGCUGGAUUUUCAGGCAUUGAAGCACCUUCGUUUGGAGGGGCAUCUUCGGUUGGAGAGUUACCUUCGGUUGAUGAAGGACCUUCGGUUGAAGUAGUAGAGCUUGGCUCCCCCUGGACUUGUGAGCUAGGCUCCCCCUCGACAAGAGAACUUGGCUCCCCCUCGACUGAAGCAUUGUUGGUUGGAGAUUCAUCAGUAGGCGAUUCUCCUUCAUGCAUUCUUCUUGCAGCAUCUUCGACAAUCUUCUUCAUAUGAUCUAUUUUGUUGUCGGCUGCCCCUGCUUCUGAGAGAGAAGCUUUUUCCGGUUCAUCAAAGAGAUCCAGAAAAUUCUCGUACAUAUUGGCGAUUGAGACUGUGACUUGACCAGUUUGAGGGAAGAUUUCCCUGGCAGUGUCAUCUAUGGCCUGUAGCUUCUUGACAUAGCUAUCGUCGAAGGUCACAUAGUAUGUUUCUUCAAUCCUUCUUGAUCGUUUGUUUAGGACCCUGUACGCCUUUGAAGUGAGUGAGUAACCCAGAAAGAUUCCCUCGUCGGCUUUGACAUCAAACUUGUUGCGGUGUUCUUUAGAGUUAAAGAUGAAACACCUUGAGCCAAAAACGUGGAAAAAUUUCACAUUGGGCUUCCUGUUGUUUAAUAUCUCAUAUGGUGUGAGCGUGAAUCGCUUGUUGAGAUAGGACCUGUUUUGUGUAUAACAAGCAGCAGAAAUAGCGUCAGCCCAAAAAUAAAGAGGUAAGGAAGCGAAACUUAACAUAGUUCGGGCAGCUUCACACAAAGAUCGGUUUCGUCUUUCGACUAUUCCGUUCUGUUGUGGUGUGUAGGGAGCUGAGAAAUUAUGGCUAAUUCCCUUUUCUGCAAGAAACUCUUCAAACUCCCUGUUCUUGAAUUCGAGACCAUUGUCGCUCCUGAUGUUGCGAACGACCUUCUUGAGCUGGACUUCAAUUUGCUUGAUAAACACUUUCAGCUUUUGAGUCGCUUCAGAUUUGAGCUUUAGAAAGAACACCCAUGUAAAUCGAGAGAAGUCAUCAACGAUAACAAGAAUGUACUUGCUACCACCGAUGCUUUCAAUAGAUGAAGGACCACACAAAUCGAUAUGAAGCAAUUCGAGUGGUUCAACAACUUUUGUGUUAAUUAUGGAUGGGUGACUUUGACGACUCUGCUUUCCCAUUUCGCAUGCAGCACACAAAUGCUCUCUGUCAAACUUGAGCAAUGGAAGACCCCUAACAUGACCUCCAGUGACAAGUCGGUUGAUAUCUUUGAAAUUGAGAUGAGAGAGUCUUCUGUGCCACAACCAGCUUUCGUCGGAUUGAGCUUUUGAUAGCAGACAUAUGGCUGGGUUUCCUUUGAUGGGUUUCAUGUUCAGAGGAAACAUUUCACCCUUUCGCUCUGACUUCAGAAUCACUUUCUUUGUCUUUUUCUCUAUGAUUUCAGAACCUUCAUCAUCGAAUGAAACUUUGAGACCUGUACCUCCAACAAGCUGAGAUACACUGAUGAGGUUGUGUUGGAGUCCUUCCACAUAGGCCACCUUCCUUAUUGUAAAGUCACCAUUCGUUAUCAUCCCGUAUCCCUUUAUGGUGCCGAAAGAGUUAUUUCCAAACUUAACGUUGCCACCAUUUGCAAGAGAUCUGUAUUCCCUGAGCUCCUCUUUCCUCCCUGUCAUGUGACGCGAGCAGCCACUGUCGAUGUACCAUUCUUCGUCAAACUGCUCGUCACUUAUAACCUGCAAAAAUUAAGCAGAUUUAGGAACCCAAAGUUUCUUGGGUCCAUGUGAGCUUUUCAUGGGAACGGGAAUAGUAAGAGAGAUGUCAACUAGAUAUGUUCUUUUAAUUAGAGUUGUUUCAUCUUUCUUUUUAAUGGUAAAGACUUUUAUUUUGUUAGGAUUGGGUUUGUUCGCUUUGGACUCAGGUUUGGAUUCAUCGACCUUCUGCUUUCCUUUCUGUUCAGCUGAUGGAUGAGGUUUUUGACAACAUGUGGGAUUAGCUUUAGAGCAAGAUGGAGAUGAAUGAGUGGAAGUAGAAGAACGAGAAGAAUUAGAAUGAGAGGAUUUGGAUGGAGAUGUCUUCCUGGCUGAUGAUUCUAGGUGACCCUUUUGCUUUUGAUCGUUGGCGGGGCUGACCUUUGAGUCUUGUUCUCUUUUGGCUUUAGAGCCGAACCUCUGUGUUCGGUUGGAGUUGUUCUUGGAACCGAACCUUUGGUUUCGGUCGAAUUCCUUUUCAGAACCGAGCCCUUGCUUUCGGUUGGUGUUUUCUUGCGAACCGAACCUUGGCUUUCGGUUGGUAUUUUCUUGCGAACCGAACCUUGGCUUUCGGUUGUUGGAACUUUCAGGCNGGUUGUUGGAACUAUCAGGCUUUCUUACAGGAUUGUUUUCAUACUUCAGAUUCUUGUCCUUGUGUGAAUAGUAUGCAUUCUGGGAGUGCCAGAAUUGUUUCCUUUCAGAAAGGUUUUUCCUGUAUCUUUGGUUCCUUUCUAUCUUCCUAUCCCUCAUCUGCUUGGGUUGAUGAUGAACGUUCGCUUUCGUUUUUGUUGUCACCUUGGCUGGUUCCUUUUGAACUUCAGGAGUUUUUCUUUGAGCCGAGGGAGCAGAUGGAAUAUCUGAAGAAGAUUCAGUUUGCCCUGAGGAAGUGGAGGGAGUAUCUGAUGAAGUUUCACUACGAGCUGUUGGAGUAGAGGGUAUGUCUUCUUUUGCUGAACAAUCAUCCUCUUGAGGAAUAUCUUUCGUACCACUGGUGCUUGGUUCACUGAAAUUAUCAGGCUUAUUCAAUGGUUCAGGGAUGUAUCUUCCUUUGCUCAUCCAGGAGGUUCUUUCAGACAGGCCAACGGUUUCGUUUGCAUUAUCAAUAGGAGCUUCCCAGAAAUACUCAUCACAGCCAUCAGCAUUGUCUUCAUUAACAAUAGCUGUGAGUUCAGCUGUUUGAUGUUCGGUUACUCCAGUCACCUUGUAUACCUGAUUCGGAGUGGUCCUGACCUUUUGAUACACGACAGCUUUUUCUACUAGUUUCGGGGACUUUUGUUGGGACAGUCUAGCGAAUUCCACAGAAUUUUCAGAGAUAAGAUUUUUGUGGUUUUUAGUUUCGCUUUUAACGAAUUCUGAGCAGUCAACCGUAUCCUCUACAGAAAUUUCACUCAUGUUUUCGUCCUCGUUAAGCUCAGAUGCAUUUUCAACAUCUAUUUUAUUUUCUGAGCUUACGUUGGCGUUUAGGGAGUCAAAUUUUUGCAUGGUUUCGGUUCUCAGUUUAAGUCGGUCAUUUUCGUCCAAAAGGUUUUUGAGCAUGUCCUUGUGGUCUUUGGAUUUAAUGAAGGACUCAAUUUUGUCCAGUCCAUACAUGUAGGUCGGAUUGACAUCAUCAGACGAUAUCACACUCUCACAUUUGUAGGCUUCGGCAUCGAUUUCAUCCUCCUUAAAUUCUAGGAAGGGCAAAAUCAUGCGAUGGAUCUUUUGGCCUAUCUCACAAUCCAAGUGAAGUUGAGUAAUAUUGGAAUAUAAACGUUUAGCUAUUAAACAAAAAACAUUUCGUUGUUUUAACAAUUUCAAAUUGUCUCUCUGCAAAUAAAUGUUUUCGUCUUUAACUUUAACUAAUUCCGACUCUUUUAACUCAAUCCACAUUCGCCGCUCCUCACUCUUCGACGCCACCCUGCUUAAUUGAUCAGUCAGGUUAGAAUUGGUGACUCGAGUUUGAGUUAAGCUACUAUCUAAAUGAGAAAUUCUUGUAUUAACAUUUUUUAGUUCUUUCUCAUAUGAGGAUGAUGGUACUUUAGAUGAAAUAAAAACAGAUUGUACCUUCUUUAUCAGUUCAUCGAGCUCAUUGAACUGCUGGCUGAGUGGUUUGGCCGUAAAGCACAUAUCCUCCUGUACCUUCGGUCCAUCGCUUCCUCCAUCGGUAUUGUAUCCCCUCAUUUGAGAUACGUCAGUCACCAUGAAGCAUUUUCCACCACUGCUUUCCUCCUUAGCCACAUAAGCCUUUCCAUGAGUAGGCUUCCUCACUUCUUCGUCUUCUGAGUCAGUAGACCAAACUUCUGUGCUACCGAACUCAUCGUCAUUAACCGAACCCUGCACAAUAAGAGCAUUAAUAGAAGGGUUAGCGGUAGACUUCUUCUUUCUCAACUCAUCCAAUCUCUUCUGCAGCACGGCUUCCUCAUCAUUUCCAUCGUCCUUUUCAGCCAUCUUCUUAAGAACACAGUCCUUAGCAUAGUGGUUCUUGCCACCACAGUAGAAACAGCUUACUCCGGAAUCGCCAUCUGCCUUCGGUUCCUUCUUGGGCUCCUCAGCCUUCGGUUCAUUGUUCACCUUUUCAGAGCUGUAACUCCCCUGCCAGUUUCGGUUUUUGUUGCUGGGGAAUCUCUUCUUUAUGAACCUCUUAGGAUUGGAUACCAUCAUGGCAUAAUCCUCAGUUGUGAGGUCAUAUUCUUCCAAGUUGAGCUCUUCAUCCUCCAUCACAGCUUUACUUUUAGAUAGGAGGGCCAACGAACCAAGACUAGAAACAACGUUCUUCUCUUGAACCACAAUCUUCUCUUGGGACUUUAGAAUACCCACCAGUUUCGCCAAAGAGUAUGAUUUAAACUGUUCAUGGGCUUUGACUGUGGAAACCACUGCUCUCCAUUCAGAUCUCAGUCCGUUCAAGAAAGUAACCUUUUGUUCGAUGAGCUUCCUUUCAAUGUCGUGUUUGAUCAUCUUGCUGAGAAGAUGAUUGAAGCGAUCAAACGUCUGGGUCACCGUUUCUUCGGCCCCUUGCCUGAAUUCUCCAAACUCAGAUAGAAGCAAGGUUUGGAUGGAAUGUUCAAGAUCUUCGUCUGUGGAAUACAGUUCGCGAAGUCUAUCCCACACUUCCUUUGCCGUAGUACAUGAGCUGACCAGUCUGAAUGUGUCGGACUGAAGGGCGAAUCUGAUCAACCUUAGCGCCUUAAUAUUGCACUGGAAUUUGUCUUUUUCAUCUUGCGCAAUAUCCGUCACGUCCUUAAGCAGAUCGUUGUACUCUUUUUGCGUCUUAAUGAUUCUGGAUGUUGCAGAAUGAGAAAACGGUCCAUUGAUGAUGGCUUCCCAGAUGAGAUAACCAUUGUCCUCCGAUCCAAUCACGUAAUCUUCAAAAUGAUGCGCCCAUACUUCAUAGUCAUGGGUGUAUAAGAUUGGAAUCUUUGUCGUCGAACCGAUGCUGUUGGAAAUAUUAAUAGGGUUUGAUUGCGUCGCGUCCAUUAUGAUCGUAAAAACCUGUUCAAAGAUCAGACUUGUAAUAAAGCAGAUUAGGGCAAAACAAUAAAUAUUAAGAUACGUCAAUUAAGAUGACGGCUCAAUAAAUAUCGAUGAUUGCGGAAAACCCUAAUGGAAAUCUUUUUCACAGAAAAGAUGUGUAUCGAUUACACAGCCUCCUGCUCUGAUACCAAUUGAUGGGAUUAAAACAACUUUUAAUCUAUGAAGAUCGAUUAGAUCUUGAACAAGUAUAUGAAUAUGAAACAGUAAAAACGCAAUAAUAAGAACAAACAGCUUGAAUCAAACGUGUCGAAUGAUUAAAUAAAAUCCUUAGAAGAGCUCGAUUAAGAACAUCAACUGUAAAGGAUUAGAAGAUUACAAGAACGAUUACAGAAAAAUAAAGUACUCUUGAUCAAUCGCUAUUUUGAUAAUCUCUCGAAUCUUAACCUAAUAUGCAUGCAAGCAUUUAACUUAUAUACAAUACAUAAAAGGCUCUCGGUUGGACAGGCCCAAACCGGAGAAUACAAGGCUAAUCAACGAGCCCAAAAGACGCAACAUCAAAACUAUCUACAGCCCAACAAGAUCAAUCAGUGUAAUGAAUUGGAAUCACUAAUAAAUCUUGUUUAUAUGUUCAUAAUAAUGAUAAUGAACUUAAACAUAAGUUGUACUUAAAGUACGGUAAGCAUAACUUAAUUUACAGGUGGUUUAGCGAGAAAUCGGGCUUUGCAUGGGCAAAACUUUUGAGCCGAAAGCUCUUAUUCUCGAGUCUUUCCGGCGCUCCGGGGCUCACUACUAACUCCUAGGAAGGGCUAAAGAUAAGGUCUGAUGACCUUGGGAGGUUUGGGAGAGAAUUGGUUGAAGAUGUGUAACGAAAAGAGUGAGAAAUGAGCUCUAUUUAUAGCUGCCAGCGCCCAAGUACGUUGGGCGUACUCAAGAAUUACGCUGGGCGUAAUGGAUUUUUAAGGGUUACUCUGGGCGUACUCAAAUAUUACACUGGGCGUAAUGUGCAAUGUGGCGAAAUCUGGUGGCAAGCUGUGGGGAAGAAGGUGUGGCCUAAAUCUUGCCACUUGUCACUCGUUGGUUAAUCCAAAAACUAAUUAUCUUCUAAAAUCCUUGACUUUCGCAUACGAGCUCGGUUUUUUAUGUUCUUUAUAUCCACACAUAGGUAUCGACGAUAUUUAUAACUUUUGUUUAGACUUCGUAGGCUAAUUUUUCUUUAUUUUUAAAGAUAUAUUUUAAUAGGCUUAGACAGUUAAAGUCCGUUAAAAAUUCUUAACUUUGUCAUCCGACGUCCGUUUUUUAUUGUCUUUAUAUCGUUGAGCUCCUAUUAAUGAGAUCUUCAAUUCAUGUUUAGUUUGUGUCGACUAAUGUUCGAUUGAUCUAAAAUUUGAUUUACGGGGUGUAUUCUGUUACGCUAAAUCUUAUAAAAAUCAUAACUUACUCAAAUGAAGUCAGAUUUGGACGUUCUCUAUAUGUACGUUCUCAAUUUAACAUCUACUAUGACUUUUGUUUAGCUUGCUAAGGCUAAAAAAUGUUUUAUCAAAAAUUUACUUUAUACGAUACGUGGAGCCGUAUCGGUUUAAUCGCGAAACUUCGACAGGUCAUAACUUCUUCGUUAUAAGUCGGAUUUCUACGUUCUCUAUGUGUACGGAAUCCUUGUCACAUAUAAUUGGUUAAGAUUAUUUAUUCUAAAUAAUAUCCUAUCAAAAAGUCAUUUUUAACACUUAUUAUCUCUAAAUUGACUGGCCCGAAUCUGCAUGUGUUACAAUUAUCUCCCCUUAAGAUGAUUACGUCUUGGAAUCAUCAACAAAACAGGUCUUGUAUAAUGACGACAUAUGUUAUCUUUUCAUCCAAGGUAAUAAUCAUAACUCUUUUGUCCUUUUAAAUUAGUAUCUAUCUCUUGGACUUCUUGACUACUGGCGGUGCUCAAUCUCACAUAUGCUCUCCGUACCAUGUUGAGUUUUCAAUCGUAACAUUUAAGUUACAAAUUCGAUCUUUACUAGAGAUUCCUUCUUCUUUUCAAUAGAAUUAACUUAAUACAAGUUCUUUAUUUCGAUUACCAUAAUAGACCGAUGGGUCAUGUUCUAAUGAUCUUUCAUCGUAUGAUCCAAUGCUUAGACUCAGGUCUUUUAGAGUCAAAUUCCAGAAUGGAAGAUACAUUCCUUCAUGUUCUAAUGUGAUAUAAUUAUAGUCUAGCAUGUAGCACUUCUAGCUACAAGCUUCUUACUUUAACGGCAAUUGCGAUACUUCUAUUGAUCACUUCAAAUAUCUCUUAUUUCAAUAUUCUGGCUUAAGUCAGAUUCUACAUCCAACUUGAUUCUUUAAACCACGUAUAAUAUAUAUCUUAGUUUGACUAGAUAUUAUAUGACCACCAGGUUCGGAAUAAUAGUCAUCUUCUUAGUCAUUACCGACACAAUGGUAACGCCAGACAUGAACAAAACGGAAUCAAUUACUAGCACCUUGAUAAACUUGUGACUUUCCGUGAUCCAAGUGUGAGUCCUAUGCUUCUGGUAGUAUAGGCCUCUACUAUCUUUCACACCAACUCAUACUCGUUUGUUGGGUCAAAAACAUGGUUUAUACUUUGCUUUUCUAAGCAUUUAUUGUUUUUAUUAUUUGGGCCAAAAAUAGUAUAGGAUUAAUUGUAGUUUGGACCGAGCAUUGGAUUAUUUGUAUUUUAGGCUUAGCCUUAGGUCCAUAUAUAUAUAUAUAUAUANAUAUAUAUAUAUAUAUAGGGUGAGGAGUGCAUGUGAGGGUAAGAACUAAGGAGCUUAAGUGUGUGUAUUCUAAGGUGUGAGAGAAACUACAGAGAAGAGUGUGUGUGAACUAUGUGUAUGGAGCUUCAAUCAUUUCAUUGAAUACAUCAUAGAUUCAUAUUCUUCUUCUCCUUCUCUUCUAUUUGAUCUGACAUCAUCCGUUUGAUUGGAAUUCCACACCAUCAAACGAAUCUGAUUGAUACACAGGCAGAUUGGGGACUUACAUCGACCCAAGUAUUUCCCCUCAAUUCUCCAGUUAACUGCAUAAGAAAAAUCAUAUAGUAACUUAACACAUCAAUUAACAUAACCAAGGUUUAUAUUGUUUCUUGAAAGGAUUACAUACAUAUUCAAGUUCGCCUUAUACUAUGCCUCUCAUAUUAGGCUACACCACAUGAUACAAUCUAUACGGGUACUUUGUAUCUCGAUCUUCAAAUAUAUAGACCCUUACUCCUAAUCCCUUGCAUCAUCAAUUGCUUCAUUAAGGAUCAUCUGGAAUGCUCUUGCCUUAGGAUUUGGCAGUACGUUUGGCUUUGUAGCUCCUUCCCUAUUCGGGUAGUCUUGCUUGGUUGAGCAUUUGUUGGCAUAUUGACCAAUCUUCCCACAUUUAAAGCAGGUCACCUCUUUAUUGCAUCUCCCAAUGUGCUUCCUUCUGCACUUAUGACACCACUUUUCUUCAUUUCCAUCCCCAUACCUCUUAUUGUUGUGGUCAGACUUUGGGAACCUAUUUUUUUUGGGAUCUUGAAGACUUCUCAAAGUUCCUAUUCCUGCCAACAUCAACCUUAUUGGCAGUUCUACCUUUGGUAAUUUCUUCUACAGACUUAGCAGCCCAGAUGGCCGCCUCAAGAGUAAGUGCAUAGCAUACUGGCACAACGUACUCCCAUGGUAGUCCCUUUGUAUACUUAUCGAUUUUUGUUAGCUCUACAGGGACGAUACGCAAAGAAAACUCCAUCAU
rnacentral:lncRNA from 1 species